GUGCAGCUGUCUGGGAGCCCAGGAAGUCACACCCGUCUCGCGCACUGAGCUGAAGCUCCAGCCCACGUGGCGAAUAGCGAACCCCCCGGCGCUGAAGGGAGUGCCUAGCCGGGCCCCUCCUCCAAACCAGGGUACUUGGACUAGAUGGCAGUUCUGUGUUGCAUGGCGUAUUUGAGCAUGACAAGAUGCCAGUGAGGUGUGGAGAAGCAGAGGAAUGAAAAGUGUCCUGUGCAUCCAGAAGACACACUGCCUCUCACUUUUCAUAAUGCUGGAUGGAACUGUGUGGCUAAUACAUAUUCAUAAGUCCAAGGCGAAUGUCUUAGAUAAAUGAACAAACAUCACAGCAUUGCUUGCUGGGCGGCUCGGCUAAUGCUUCAGAAUUAGUAAUGUGUUAUUUACAGAAGUGAAAUAUUUGCUUCCCUUGGCACCUUCUCCUACAUGUAAAUUACUGGCCCAUUUUAAAUUUUUGUGUGUAUUUAACUAUUUUUGGUAGUUAAAUAUGAUCCAGCAAUAUUUUAGUUUUAUAAGAUAUGAAUCUUAAAAAUUUUUAUUUUCUCAAAUGGAAAUCUUCACAUUGCAGAGAUAAUGACUUUGAAGUAGAUUUCCUGCACCACCCCCCAAGGCCCCUUCUUAUAUCCAUGUAUUUACUUGUAUUCCCACCAAUAAGGAGCACUUACCCAUGGGAUGCUAAUACUUUUUAAAACAAAUGGUUCUAUUUUCAGGACUUCACAGGCAAUGAGGCAACCUAUCUGUUAAUUGAGGAGGAGCUGACACUAUUAAAUUUGGUUCUAUAUGGAAGUGAUGAAAUAGAAAAAGCAUUGCUUGUUCUUCUGAAGAAAUUUCUAUUUAUGAAUUAAGGAAGUCAACACUCUUUACUUAGGUGUGGGGCUUUGUAAGAUGGACCCCCAUAAUGCUGGGAUUUUAACUAGCAUGCAUCUGUGCAGGUAAACACUGCUGCUCUAAGUUCAUGAGUGUAACAGUCAUGUUACCCCUAGAACAUGACACUCCUCCCUGUUGUCAAACUCUCACACCUUUUCUGUCUCCUUCCUAUGAUGUUUCCUGCAUACUGAAGGAGGAAUGCCGAUAUAGACAUUGAAUCCAUGAUUGAGCAUUCUUCACCACUUAGUCUGCAACUCUUGGCCAAUUAUAAAUCUGUGUAUUGAUCACCACACACCUCAAAGAGAAUCUUCUCUUGCCGAGGCCAAGAGAAGAUUACCCUUUAAAACAGUUUAAUAAAAACUUUCAGUGACACAGGUUAAUUCAAGAAGAAAUUCCAUGGGAAUUUCAGAGAAAAGAUGGAAAAAUCCAGAAAAUCCAACUGAGAAGCUCAGUAAUGCUUAGGGUUCAAGCCAUAGCUAAUGGGUUUAAUAUCCCAGAAACUGUUUCCUGUAUAAUAAGGCAACAUUAUUCUUUUUCUUUCUUUCUUUGGCUUUUUUUUUUCCUUAUGAAAGUGGACUCUGGUUUAUUUGCUAUCGGGAGCACACAAAAGUCCUUUGAAUGGCCGGUCUGUUCCGUUUCUCUCCAUGUCCCCUUUCUCUCACAGGAGUCUUGCUUUCCCCCUUUCUGGCCCCACACAUACUUUCCUUAAAACAAACAUCCUUGUUUUAAAAGCAAAGAAGACUCUGCUCUCCAUUCUUGUUUGACUUCCCACACAUUGCUGUUAACGAUUCCCCAAACACAGAUGGAAGACAGGCUUGGACUCUUCCACUGUAAACUAUUUCACAAGAUCUCUGCCCUUUAAAUAUUUUGAUUUGUUCUUCUGGAAAGAAACUUUCCCUGUCAGCUCCCCCCCUCCUUCCCUGCUCCCCACGUGCUCACCACCACUAAGAAUUGGGUAUUUGUGAAUGUUACCAUUUUGUUAGUUUCAUCCUUUUAGCGAUACAGGGCUAAAAACAAACACUAAUCUUGCAUUCAAGAUUACUAUGUGCAUCUAGGAUGCACCCAUAGAAAAGAAACAUUAUUACAUUAGUUAAUUAUCAUUCAUAAUUUUCUGUUUUACCAAUGAGCUAAGAAAGGCAUGGCCAACAUUCUCAGUGGACUGGGGAAUUUUGGACUGCACUUUGUCCUUAUUCCUGGAGUUUAAGACCACUGGCUUUUCAUGCCGUCAGAAGUGAUGUAGAUGUAGAGUGUUCCUUUUCAAAGGGAUGGGCUUCACCUUGUCACAACCACUAUUGCCAGCAUGAAAUAUUAAAAAGCUGUUGAGCAUAAUUCCAAAAUAAUCUAAUGCGUUUACUUUGAAAAGGUUUAGUAUAGAACAAAAAGUAUAUGGUUCAGAGAUUACUCAGAAAUGCAAAUGCCUGAGAACUUGCCCUUGGAUCUGCUGUCAUGUCCUUAUCGCAACCAUGAUCUUAACUUUAUCUUAAACCAGAAUCAACUGUAUACUUCUUCUAAUGCCAAUAUUUAUUAUCUCGUGAUUUUUUCAGCAUUGCUACUUGCUUGAAAAACUUGAGGCACCUCUAAUUUAAGAACAUUCAUUGCACCAAAUUGCCUAAUCUGAGAGAAACACAUUUUUUUCUUUCCCUCCCUUCCUCACUCCCUUCCUUUCUUAAAAACACAUGCUUGGAAGUAAAAAUAUAUAUCAUUAAAAUUUCAAACAACUUUGAAGAUUUCAUGUUGAUACAUGAUGCAUACUGUCCUAUACCUUAAAAUUAGAACACAUCUAAGAAUAAAUUUAAACUGAUUUUAAUGUUUCUAAGCUUCUUGUAAUUUAUAGAUGAUAAAGUUCUGGCUAUGUAUAAUACAUAUUUCUCUCUCGAUAUUUAUAUGUAUGUGUGUCAAAGGAACAUAGAAAUAUUUCAUUAACAGUACCACUGAUACUGAGUAGACACACAUACACAUACACCAAACUUAAAAAUCUAUAUCCCAAAAUAUUUCCUGUUAUAUAUUUUUUAAUUUUCUCCUUUAAACUUAUGUAUUAUACACUCAAUAUUGAUGCCCACAUAUCAGUAUAUCUAAAAGAGAUAUAUGUAGAGAGAAGUAGAUAUAGUGAGAUCUCUAUUAUAUAGCAUAAUCUUAUAUAAUUGAGUAAUUAUACAGCUAUAGGGAUAUAUCUAUUUUUAUACUUUUGUAUAAGAAUUUAUAUGCACUAUGAUAAAUAUAUUUAUACAUUUUGAAUAUGUGUAUCAGAAACAUCAAUUAUAUAUUUAUGUUAUACUAGUAUCUGCAUAUCUAUGUUUAUAAACAGAAAGAUAAAAUAUCAACAAAUGAGGUCUCACGAUAUAUGGAUUCUUAUUCUUCUGUUCUUGACAAGUAUUAUAUGCGCAAACAUGUAUGUGUCCUCAGACAUACAUGUCGUCUACCUAAUACUGUCCUUUACCAAAUUUACUUGUGUUUUUUCUAGGCAUGAGGUAGCAUUGCAUCUCGUUUGAAGUUAGAUGAAGAGAUGUGGCUUACAUGGCCAGUGGAAUGUGAGCAGAUGUAGUGCAUUUCACACACAGGUGGAAGGUCCAAAAGCCACUGUUUAGCUUAUGUCAUUAUCUGCACUAUGGCGACUGUCAAGCACGUAUUGGACUGACAUCUUUGUCAGGGUGGGUUUCUGAUUGGUUAGGAUACACAGACAUUUCUAAUACCCUGAAACAGGCAAGAUUGGCAGGAAAUAAACUUUUGUUGUACAAAAUUGCUGCAAUAUGUGUGGUGGUGGUUAACCCAGCACGAAAAUACAACCCAGCUUGAGUGUUGGCAAACUUCUCCUGUAAAAGGCCAGAGAGUAGGCAUUUUGGCUUUUAUGGCCUACAUAUGGUCUCUAUAAUAUAUUUCCUCAGUCUUUUUUCUUCUCAUAACAAACAAAAUUCAAAAUACAUUCUUAGGGGUACAUACAGCCCAUAUGAAAGUGGACUACAGUCCAGGCUAACCCAGUGGACUAUAGUUUUCUAACUGUCAUCUAAUGACUUCUUGAGAUAAAGACAGGAAAGUGAGGGCCAGGAACCAGGCCCUUGGUUAAGAGCACUUGCUUCCUUUGCACACCCUAGUUUAGUUCAGAGCAUCCACAUCUGGCUACUUACAAAAGCUGUAAUGCCACCUCCAUGGGGUCCCACACCAUUGUCUGAAUGCCACAAGCACCUGAAUGUACAUAGAUAUGGUAACAUGCACAGAGGCAAACACACACACACACACACACACACACACACACACACACACACUGAGACACAGCACGUAGAUAUAUACAUACAAAUAAAAAUAAAUAAAAAAUCAGAAAUGAGGAUGUACCUAUUUAGAAAAAAGAGGACACACUUCUUGUUGCUGUCCAAACCACAGUUAACAUUUCAGUUCAAACAAUUUAUAACAGCAUAUUAAAAAAAAACCUAUGUAGAAAUUCUUCAUUGUCCAUUUCAUUUACUUUAUUUUUACAUAGAAUGUCAAAUUCAAAUGGAGCUCUGUGGUGACAGAGCAUAAAGUUUCUCAAGGUAUUUCCUUGAGCAUGAAGAUGCUACACACAAACAGACAGAUACAAGAUGGAGAGUUGCCUCAACAUAAAAAAUUACUCUACAUGCUACAUCCACAAGCUCAUUUUAGCCUUAUGUCUGUCGAUAUGAAAUGGAAUGCCCACUCCUUGGAGCACACUGCCUUCUUUGCUUUUGUCUUGUUAUUGAGGACCUAGAGUUUGAGGCAUUGCCAACACGGGAGGUCUGUGUCAACUUUUCAUGUUCUCCUAAGUAUCUGUGUUUGGCCUUAUGAUCUGGCUCUAGGUUUGUAAUAUAUCUGGACAGUUUGUUUGGUCAAUCAGGGAUUGCACUGCAUGUGUGAGUGAUGUCAAAUAACCUCUGAGAGCAUAACACUGUCAAAAUUAUCUUGGUGUCAUAAGAAGCACACCCUGGAGAUGGAAGGACUUCCUUGAGUUUUUUUCACCUUUCCAGAUCAGUUGUUUUAUACGACUGAAAAGAAUUGGUAGUAGCAGUUUCUGGAAACUGUCAGGGUUUUAAAAGCAACAAACAGGGCUCAUCAUGGAACUUGUUACCUGUGAUGGACGCCCUGCUCCAGUGGAUUGCUUCCCCUUCGUACACCAUCAUCAUCUUCCCAUGUUGAGCUUUUUAAACUCAAUUUUGGAACUGUACAGUGAGAAUCAAGUGUUUUUCGCUUACAGUUACAUCUGAAGGUUGUAACAAAAUCAAGAAAUGGUCCAUGGGACUACAACCCCAGUCCAUGGAAUGUGCCUCCCACACUCAGGGUGCCUUCCAUCCUAAAUUAAACCUUCCUGAAAACAUCCUUCUGGACACACUGAGGGGUGCGUGCUCUUGAUGAUUUUAAUCCUCUCAAGUUGGUCAGCAAGAUUAAUGAUCACACAUUCCAUGGAGACAAGAAAUAAUGGAGUCUAUCUUAACACCCUAUUACAGCAAUUUUUUCCUACUCUGCAGUAGAGAAAUACUUGCUGAGGAUUCUUUAGUCAAGAAAACAUCAGUGCAGAUGCUUCCUCACUUCAUAUGUAUAUAUUUCAAGAUUUUUACUAAAAGUCUGCUGUUCAACAAAUAACCAUGUCGGAAAAAGUCGUUCUGCAGAACAUCAUGUGGAGAGACAUAUUUGAUGAACACUGGUAGAAAUUGAUCAGCUAAUUUUGAGUGCUUCCUAUGGUUAUGAAAGUUGAUGUUAUAGAUGCACCAAGCCGCAUGUGCAAGACAUCCCACCUCCCAAUGUUGAAACAUCAUGUCAGUAAGUUGUUGAUGUUGCUGUUCUGGUUUUGAGACGGGGCUGCAUGUAGUCCAGGACCUGCUGGACUUACUAUGGAGCUAAGGAUAACUCUUAGUUACUAAUCCUCCUGCCUCCAUUUCUUGAAUCCUGGGACUACAAAGCAUGCAUUACUACACUUAGUUUAAGUGGUAGAACUAAACUAAGCACAGAACUAAACAGAGCACAGAACUCUGUUUUGUACUUAUGAGACAAGGACUCUACUAACUAAACUACACUGUCACUCCCAUGUUACAUAUAUAUUACAGUAUAAUUACAUUAUUCAUCCUUUCUCUUCCCUCCCUUCCUCCCAAACUUCCCAUAUAGCUUAUCCUCCUUUGCCUUCUUUCAAAUCCAUGGCAUCUUUUUAAUUGAUGGCUAUUGUAUGCACUAGCAUGCAAUAAAUUCAUGAAUUUAUGGACUGUGAAAAAUACAAACUGAUUGGGAAUCUUUUCUUCCUCCUAGGGAACAGUAGGCCUAUGUGGCCGUUGUUUUUGGAAUAUUACUCUAGUUUCAGAAGUUUUGGAAAGCUAUGAGUCAUUUAUGCUAUUCACUAAUAUAAUGAAUCUUAGUCUUAUUUAAAUGUUUGUUUUAAUAGUAUUUAAUCAAUGAUUUAAGAAUAAGCUAAAUAGGAAAUUACUAUAGUCUACAUUACUGUAACUUGCUAACAAUCUGAGCUCAUGCCAACAUUAUAAAUUCUAUUGAAUGGUCUAGUUUGAAAAGCUCUGUUCUGGAACUAGUCUAGUCCCAAGAAGAGCACUGGGGAUAAUGGGCUUUUGAGGACAUAGAUUAGAAAUGAGUGGAGCUGUAAGCAACUGUAAAAAAAUAAUAAUAAUUAAUAAUAAUAAUUCAAGGCUGGGUCUGAAAUUGAUGGAUCUGUGGCAUCAUGAGCAAUAAUAAUCAGAACAGCUUGAUGAGUGUACACACAUGCUAAAUGUCUGACAGCUUCUUCAUUCAACAAUGUUCACAGCCGGACAAGAAAGGAUGCACUAUAUCUUUUCUGCAAAAAGGAAGAAAGCUUUAGCGUUGAAGAAACUUGCUCAACAUCACCAUGUUUAUAGCAGGUAGCACCGUGAAGGUAAUAUUCUACUUCAGUGAUGGUUGAUUGAGUCCUGGACUGCAUGGCUGCUGACAAACUGAGCUUAAUAAAGUAUGCAAAUGAAUUUUCAGUAGUUUUAAAGCUAUACUUCAUGUUUCCAGUUUUCAAACAGUUCCAUGAAAAUCAAUUAACUUUUUUAAUUAAAAAAAAAGAUGAUGUACUUACACAGCAUCAGGCAUAAUACUGGUGCAUCACAAAAACACUCUGAUACACUCAUCAAUUCAGUGACGGAAGUACAUAUUACCAUUACUAAUAUAAAAAUGUCAAGCUCAGAGAGGUAAAGAAAGUUGCUUCAGAUACAGAAAGUAUGUGACAAAGAUACAGUAUCAGCAGAAAGUAGCUAUGCAACUUCUGUUCUGAUAUUUUCUUUGAGGAAGAUUGAAUAAUAGUAGGAUUAUGACAAUAACAACAGAUAAUAUCUUAGAUUUUACCCAUGACAAACACUGUUUAAACACCCUUUGUACUUCCAUAAGUGUCGUGUGUGAAAACAUUCUUUUACUACUAUUCUGCAAAUGAAGUAAAUAAGUAUAAAAGGUAUUAAAUAAUUAUCCACCUAAUUGACAGCUAUAAAAAGCCAAUAGUGAAGUAGUCUGCAUUGGACAAAAUCUAAGGUCAUACCACAAUAUUAUAUUUUAAAAAUAAACAAAGACCAAAUGCUUACAAAAGUCAUAAGAUUUGGAAAAACAUUUCCAUAUUCUGGGUACUCUGCCUAAAUCCCAUCUCCAAUUUAGUACUCAAAAGAGGUCAGCAACAUUAUGGGAUGGAUAUACUAUGCCAAAAGUCCUUUAGGGAAACAAAUAUUACCUAGAGUCAGAAAUGCAGAGAAUGGAGCAUACAGCCUCAAAGUUCUCCCGAAAUUGAACACUGAAUAUUUUUCAUCUAGUCAGUAAAAGUCAUAAUCUUAUUGAGAUUUCUCUAAGGUAGUUACAGCCUUUAUAAAAUGGUGGGAUUUAUUUAAAACGUGUGUGCACUCAGCCAUAAAAAUAAAGUGGAGAACAAUGCAAAUCAAAUUGUAUAAUUUGUUCAAAUGCAUGUCUCUUUGGUCACACCUUCUUAAUGAAUAGAAGCAGACAAGCAAGGCAGCUAAUAAGUUAUUUUAAUAGGGUGAUGUAACGGUGUGUGAACUGUUACCUCCUGGGAGAGUGACUGACAGAUUACUGGUCUCAUUACUGUGUAGAUUAGUCUCAGGAAUUCAUUAGUGCCCAGUGUGGCAGCUCUGCUCAGUGCCCUUAAUUUGAAGAAAGAGACAGGAGGCCGGUGUGCCCAUGCAACUCCAAAGGCGGAUGAUCUGGAGUUGAAGGCUUUUAGAGCAAAGGACUCUCCUGAGAAGAUGGCAAUUAUUCAUGGUUUUUUUUUUUUUUUCAAGCCAGUGGUGACAGCUCUCUUUCCUUUAGUCUGUAUCAGUACAUUAAAAAAAAAAAAUUGCUACAGGCAACUGGAUUUCAUGUUACCUUGGAAGAAAGAGAGCUAAUGCAGAGUAUUUCAAAGGUAUUAUCUGUAUGGCUGAGCUUAAGUAUAAACAAUUUGACUUUACAGAAGGAUGAAGGCAAACAGAAAUAGCAUGGAAAAGUGUAAUUUAUCAGUAACUCUAGCAUUUAAUUUUUAUGUAAUAGGUUUGCCCCCCAUCGCCAAAGCUUUGUAUUGAUUGAUUUUAAAAUCUUUUAUAUGGUAUUUCUACCACAGGUAGGAAAACCAUUUCUCUGAAGACGCUUUAUAACAAACAACAAUAUUCUAAUCGUUGGGACAGGAAACAGAAUCCUCAAAACAUUGCUCACAUUCUAUUAAAAAGAAACUUUCCAACUUUGACUCUAGCUCUUAGAAAUAAAUUCAUAUUACAAGCAACAAUACCCAUGUAGGAUUUUAUAUCUGAAACCAAAUGUUGCCAUUCCUAUGAUAUAAUAUUUCUUUUUUUGUUCUAUUCUAAUCUCUUAAUUCAUAGCACUGUAUAGUAUCAUAUUUCUUUUUAAACUUAUAUUGUUCAAACUGUUGAAUCUAUUUUAAAAUUAGUUUCAAUUUUAUUUUACCAUUAUCAAUAAUACAGGAUAUGUACAUUGAAAAACUACAGAAUAACCAUCUCAGGGGAAAUUUUUUUCAUGUUAAGUUUUGUAAGAAAAAUUACUGUGUACUUACACAGCAUCAGGCAUAAUAUUGGUCCUUCACAAAAACACUCUGACACACUCAUCAAUCCAGUGAUGGAAGUACAUAUUACUAUUUCCAUUACUAAUAUAAAAACAUCAAGCUCAGAGAGGUAAAGAAAGUUGCUUCAGAUACAGAAAGUAUGUGACAGAGAUACAGUAUCAGCAGAAAGUAGCCAUGCAAUAAAUAUUGUUUGAACAAAUAGUGCAUUAUUUGCACACACAAUCUUGGCUGCAAAGGUGGUUUAAUUUUGUUAAUAACAGUGACUUCUCCCAGCAAUAACUGCAGAACAGAAGACACAGGCAGGCUGGUUAUCAACAUUCGCUCCUGGGAUCUAGUGAGAGCAUCCGUGUGCCCUCUCUCAAUCAUCCUAUAGACACAGGGCCACUCACACUAUGGUUGUGGGCUCUGGAUAUACUAUCUGAGCUCAUAGGUUGCCUUCUAUUCUUAUUAACUGCAUAUAAAGCUUGAUUAAAAUUUCUGUGCAUAUUGUUUAAAUCUCUUAUAUCAGUAAAUAAUAUAUAAUAUAGAUGUGUUUGGAAGAUUACAAAUUUUAGCAAUUUAGAACAAUUUCUGACAUCUGGCACACAGUCAAUCAUUGUCAGCCAUUAGCACAGUUAUACUGAGCAUGUUUAUGACUCUAUUCGGCUGGUUCUUCUUCAAGAGACUGGAACAGUGACUUCAAACUCUUACGUAUUUUGUAGUUGGGAACCCAGGCUUCUUUUUCUUUGGCUUUACUUUUAAGAAUUCAAAUUCUCAAGAUGGUAUUCUCUUUGUUUUUAAGAGAACCUGCCAUUGACCUCCUCUCAGACUUACAAAGAAAUAGGUCCCUAACUCUCCCUCACAAGGGAGUACCUGAAGAUCAGCCCUGGAUAUGGCUGUGUUGCUAUCUUUGCAGCUGAAUGGCAGUUUACAGCACUCAAGUCUGAGUCUCACUUUAUUAGUGUCCAAGGGUAACCACUCUAGCACAUCUUUCAGAAGAUGUUGAGUUAGAACAAUAAGGUCAAGAGCAGAUGAGUCAGCUUGGUUGUAUAGAUUGAGUGACUUAAAGCAAGCUAGAGUGGGACGUUCACAAAGAUUUUCUAUAGAAACAUACUCUUGUUGUUUUCCUUUUCAACUCUCCUGGCAAUUGUUGGUGAUAAAUGGAUGCUCGGAGGUUAUCUUUGACUUUUCUUUCUCAUUGGAUACUCCAUCAUGAUGUCAGCCAGUCUCUUUCAUGAAGGUAGGUAUGUAGUUAUUGGCCAGAGUUUAUCAGUUCUAUUUCUAUUCAUCUCAAACCCUGUUAACAGUCUAUGUGUUCUUAAAAGGAACAAAUAAGGUAUGGCCAGAAAUUAAGCAUGAGCCUAAAAGUAGCAGAGUAACAGCAAAGAAGUUGCCAGUACUGGGAUGACCACCAAAAUUGACUUGCCUGCUCUGCAUUGCCCCUGUGCUCACAGAGCAAAAGGAAGUCAUGUGUCCUUGCUUCGGAAAGCUGGGGUACAAAUCAAUAUCUGCUUGUUUUUAUUAUAAGCUAAAACAUUAAUGCCUAUAUUUACUUAUUAUUUAAUUGCAUUUAGUUAUCAAUUAAUGAGUAUCACAUAAUAAUUAAAAAUUUGUGUCAAAAUAUGACUUCAAUGACAAGUAAAAAUUGUUUUUACCAGCACAAGAUGACAAUGCAAUAUUUUUCAUUUUGUUGGUAUAUUAGUCAGGAUUCUCUAGAGAGACAAAACACACACACACACACACACACACACACGAUAUGUUAGAAUGUCUUAUACUGUGUGGCCCACCUAGUCAAGCAAUGGCUGUCUAGCAAUGGAAUGUCCAAGAAUCCAGGAGUUAGUUGACCAGUCCAUGAGUCUGAAUGUCUCACCUGGUCUGCAAUAUAUGCCAUAAUCUCAAAGUAGAUUUUAUUGCCAAUGAAGGAAUGGAGUUGAUCAUGAUAGUGAGAGUUAACAGGCAUGGAGAGCAAUCUUUCUUUGCCCAUGCCCUUUAUAUAGGCUGUCAGAAGAAAGUGGCUCUUUCCACUUAGAAAGAUCUGGAUCCAGAUUAGAAGUGAGUCUCCCCACUUCAAAUCAUUUAACUAAAGAGGUAUACCCAGACAUUUUGGUUUUAGUUAAUUUCUAUUGUAGUUGACAACCAAGAGCAGCUGUUACAAGUUCAGCCCUUGUCAACUUGAUACACAAUCAUAUUUUCUUACAUUAUGCCUAAUUUCCAAAUGAAAACAAUAACCAGAUCAUAAUUAUAUCUAAUACGGUGUAACUGGCCCUUGUAUAACAGCAAACAUGAUUAUGGACCUCUGUUCUGUCCUCUGUUGAAACAUGGUGGCACAUUCUUACUCCAAUUGUAGCACUGUAAAAAUAGAGACAGGCAGACACCGAGGUGUGCUGGCGUCAGCCUGCUCUAUUAAGUGAGCCUCAGCUCCCACCAGAGAUUUUCUCAAAGAACAUGGUGAGGGGGGAAAAGUGGACAGCCUUUGAAGGACACCAGAGAUUGAUCUCUGGCCCUGACCUACACCUGACCUACAAACACACAUACACACAAACACACACACGCUCGCAUACACACACAUGCACCCAUGCACAAGCAUGUACAUAUAUGUUCACAAAGCCUCACACACGCUUAUAAAUGCUCACACACUCAUUCAUGUAUAUUCAGAUAGACAACCAUGCAUGUACACACACAUGCAUACACACACAUACAUGUACACAGAUAACUUAUGCAUACACACAGGCAUACACACUUGUAGGCACAUGCACAAACCUAGUGAAUGAAUAUCUUUUACUACUAUGUAUCUUUAGAAAUAAAGUCUUAACUUCAGUGUAUAAAAAAAUUUUAAGUUGCUCAGAUCCUAUUUGUUUUGUGUAAUUUUUGUGCAUGUGAUACAACACAGUAUUUAUAUCUUCACAGGAGUUAUAUAUUAUGAACAUCUUACUUAACUCUAUUUACUGACAAUGUAUCAUACAAUGUUCUAGGCAGUGGGAAACAGCAAAUCUUUUUUAAAAAAACUGAUUCAUGCUUAACAAUCAGUAAAUUCUGUAAAACUAUGAAUGUCUAAUGUUUUUAGACUGUACAGAAGAACAACUAGAAUUAUACUCUCUGAAGUUGCAUAUAGGAUAUUUCAUUAUAACUCUAAGUAAUUGGUGUUAUUUUAAGUUUAUUUUGAUACUUUUCUAAAAAUGAAAAAUGACACCGCUGUUUGUGGGUUAGUAGCUGGUGGGAAUUCUUUUUACAGCUGCCUGUGUCAUUUGUCUUAAUCAGACAGCAAAUAAGCCUCCAUUUCUUCAGGACAUUAAGAUCACUGUGUGUCAUUUCUAUUCUGGCCCCUGGAAUUUCAAAAAAUAUAGCUUAAGCUCUAUGUUUUUCCAUCCAUGUGGAAAAAUAUGCAGAAUUGCUAAAUUCUAUGUUUCAAUUCAAGUACUUAAAACAAUACGUUUAAAAAAAAAAGCUGGUAUAACUUCACAGAAAGCGAGGUUAUGUUAUUUGUGUGUUUUAGCAGAGAAAUGUAAAAUGUGUGAAAGUUCUGUAACAUAGAAGCAACUAGUGUUCACCCUUAAGCAUAUUGCUGACCUCUCUGAGGCUGUAGUGUUGCUCUGCCAAGUACAUAUAUGAAUAAUCAGUAUGUAUUAUAAGUGUAUACACACAUACAUAUGUAUGUAAGAAAAGAAAUGGUGUUUAUUGAAAAAGUAGUUAUCUUUUUAAAGCUUAUGUGCAUGGCUUACAAAAAUUAGUGAAAGAUCAAAGUCUACCCAGAAUGAUAUCAUAACAAGGUAGUAUGAAAUCAGAUCAUGUGACAAGCUGAAUAUUUACACAAGGGGGUCAGAAAGCAGCUGGCUCUAUGUAAACUAAAGAAAUCCAACAAACAUUCUAAGACAGCUCUCAUUUUUUUUAUGAUUUUUUAAAUUUUCAAUACAGGGUUUCUCUGUAUAGCCCCGGCUGUCCUGGAACUCAUUCUGUAGACCAGGCUGGCCUCGAACUUAGAAAUCCGCCUGCCUCUGCCUCCUAAGUGCUUGGAUUAAAGGCGUGCGCCACCUCUGCCAUGGUUUGGUUUUUUUGUUUUGUUUUGUUUUGUUUUGUUUUGUUUUGUUUUGUUUUGUAGUUCUCAUUCUUGAUCUGCAAUGGACAUAGCAUCAAGCAUCAUUUUUAAGUAAUGUACUAUCAUUUUUACAAAUUUUACAAAUUACAGAUAUUACAAAUAUUUUCUAAAACACAAGAUCCUAAUUUGGGUGUGUGUGUGUUCCCUAAAAAUAACAAUUUUUGUUAUCCUGCAUAAAAUUAAAAAUAUGUUUAUUUCAUCUUUGUGACUUAUUUUCUUGAAAAUUUCAUUUUAAAUUCAGUAUAAACAACUUAUCUCUAUUAUUUAGAGGAAACAGUUUUACAUUUAAUAAAAACAACAUUGGGCUAUUUAUACAUGUUUUAUUUUUAGUCUGAGGAUCCGAGCAAUUUUUACUUUCUUAGCCAUUGAAAUCAAGACUCUUUUGCUGAACAUAUGACACACUUUGGUCAUGGGCUUUAGAUAAACCUAGCAGGAACUGACUUGGAAGUCUUUUCCAUGGCCACCUCCAUAGUAUAGAAAAGAUGCUGUGCCUGCUGCCAAAAGAAAAUUAAUCAGAUCCUUCCCAGCUGUAAGAUUUUGAACCGAAACAAUAUAUCCUCCCAAAAUACAGUAGUGACACUUACAUUUUUGGUAGGCAACAGAGGUAUAAUUUGACUUUUUUUUAAUUAGGUACUUUCUUCAUUAACAUCUCCAGUGCUAUCCCAAAAGUCCCCCACACCCUCCCGUCCCACUCCCCCCACCCCCACCCCACUCCCACUUCCCGGUCCUGGCGUUCCCCUGCAAUGAGGCAUAUAAAGUCUGCACAACCAAUGGGCUCUGUUUCCACUGAUAGUCGACCAGGCCAUCCUCUGAUACAUAUGCAGCUAGAGACACGAGCUCCGGGGGGCACUGGUUAGUUCAUAUUGUUGUUCCACCCAUAGGGUUGCAGAUCCCCUCAGCUCCUUGGGUACUCUCUCUAGCUCCUCCAUUGAAGGCCCUGUAAUCCAUCCAAUAGCUGACUGUGAGCAUCCACUUCUCUGUUUGCCAGUCUCAGCAUAGUCUCACAAGAGACAGCUAUAUCAGGGUCCUUUCAGCAAAAUUCCACUAGGGUAUGCAAUGGUGUCAGCGUUUGGAGGCUGAUAGCGGGAUGGAUCCCCAGAUAUGGCAGUCUCUAGACAGUCCACCCCUUCGUCUCAGCUCCAAACUUCCUCUCUGCAACUCCCUCCAUGGGCGUUCUGCUCCCAAUUCUAAGAAGGGGCAAAGCAUCCACACCCUGGUCUUCAUUCCUCCUGAGUUUCAUGUGCUUCGCACAUUAUAUCCUAUAUCUUGGGUAUUCUAAGUUUCUGAGCUAACAUCCACUUAUCAGUGAGUACAUAUCAUGUGAGUUCUUUUGUGAUUGGGUUACCUCACUCAGGAUGAUGCCCUCCAGGUCNNNNNNNNNNNNNNNNNNNNNNNNNNNNNNNNNNNNNNNNNNNNNNNNNNNNNNNNNNNNNNNNNNNNNNNNNNNNNUCUAACGAGAUGAUCAUGUGGUUUUUGUCUUUGAGUUUGUUUAUAUAAUGGAUUACAUUGAUGGAUUUUCGUAUGUUAAACCAUCCCUGCAUCCCUGGAAUGAAACCUACUUGAUUAGAAUGGAUGAUUGUUUUGAUGUGUUCUUGGAUUUGGUUAGCGAGAAUUUUAUUGAGUAUUUUUGCAUCAAUAUUCAAGAGGGAAAUUGGUCUGAAGUUCCCUAUCUUUGUUGGGUCUUUCUGUGGUUUAGGUAUCAGAGUAAUUGUGGCGUCAUAGAAUGAGUUGGGUAGAGUACCUUCUACUUCUAUUUUGUGUUGGGGUGCCCAGGACUGGGUGAGGUGGGAGUGCUGGGUUCUGAUGAUGGUGAGUGGUCUUGCUUUCUGUUAGUAAGAUUCUUAAGUUUGCCUUUCGCCAUCUGGUACUCUCCGGAGCUAGUUGUUAUAGUUGUCUCUGGUUAGAGCUUGUUCUUCUUGUGAUUCAGUUAGCCUCUAUCAGCAGACCUGGUAGCCUAGCUCUGUCCUGAGUUUCAGUGGUCUGAGCACUCUCUGCAGGCAAGAUCUUCUCUUGCAGGGAAGGUGCACAGAUAUCUGGAGUUCAGACCUGCCUCCUGGCAGAAGAUGAAGGCUUGAAACAGGGCCUGUUAGCUUCUGUAGUCCACACCCUUACCUGCUCAGACUAGUCUUGGAGGGAUCAAGGAACCAAGAUGGCUUCCCUAGGUGCUCUGGCAAAGCCCUCCUGGGCAGGGAGGUCACCUGUCCUCUGGCAGGGAAGGUGCCGGAUGUCUGGAGCCUGAAAUGGGGUUUGCUUCAGAAGCUGUCCUCUAGGGACCUUGGGGGUGUCCUCUGACUCCUAGCCCAGGUAACCUGGUGCUGGCGCUGACUAGAAGGGACUUGUGACCCUGGUCAGGCCGGGUUUACUGCUUCCCUAAUGCUGUCUCAGGUCCCUCGAGAUUGGAAUGGAACAGAAGUUGCGUUCCACUCACUGGUGGUCCUAAGAUCACGUGGAGUCAGAUCUUUUUAUGGAUGGUUGUGAGCCACCAUGUGGUUGCUGGGAUUUGAACUCCGAACCUUAGGAAGAGCAGUCAGGUGCUUUUACCCACUGAGCCAUCUCCCCAGCCUGAGAGUCCUCAAAGGACCUUGGGGGUGUCUGCCAACUCCGCGCCCAAGGUGACCCAGUGCUGGCGUCGACCAGAAGGGACUCGUGACCCUGGUCAGGCCGGGUUUUCUGCUUCUCUAAUGCUGGUCCCACACGAUUGGAAUGGAACAGAAAGAUGUGUUCCACUCACCGGUGGUCCUAAGAUCACAUGAAGAGUCCUCUUUGGACCUUGGGGGUGUCCGCCGACUCCACGCCCAAGGUGACCCGGUGCUGGCCCCGACUGGAAGGGACUUGUCGGUAUAAUUUGAUUUAAGGUGCAUUUAAUAGGAAUCUGUGACUGGUACUGUAAAUCUAUUGAACUAUCCAUGGCUGGUGAGGUCACAGAACCUCAUGAAGAAACUACUAUUAUUCUAAAGCAGCAUAAUUUCUAGCUCGAGUAUAAACAUAUUUUCUUAUGCUCACAGGUAAGUAUAGACUUCACACCUCAUCAAAGCAGCUUCUUUUUUGCAGUGUGUGUCGUAUGGAGACUCUACCAUGGAAACCCACAAGUGGUUACAAUGCUGAGAACUACUGACUAACUGUAGGUUGUCCGUCCCCAGAUGAUACAUCUACAGCACAACCCUUGCACCUAAGGUUCAUUAGGAAAGACAGUAGAAAAAUGUAUGAGCCAGAGGGCCAGACAUUUACUGCAAGAUAGCAUCUGCGAAAGGUGAACUGCUACCAUGAAAUCACAACUGUAGGGCAACAAGACCUGUAAAGUGGUUGACAUGACUCCGUAGAUGGGGCAACUCUUCUCCUAGAUAAGAAGCUAGAGGCAGUUAAUCGCAAGCAAAGACCAGCAGACAUGUCUUCUCUAUGGACAAGGCUCCUGAUUGGUCGUCUAAUUUCAAGUGGUCAGCUCUAAACAUACAUAAUAGGAACAAUGCUAAUGAACCCAGGAGAGAGAGGGGUGGAGGGGUGAAAGGGGAGGGGGGAGGCAGAGUCAAGGGAGAGGGAGAAUGUAUGUGUGUGUGUGUUUAUCUGUAAUAAAAAUGAUUAAAGAUGAAAUCAUAAGUUUUACAGGAAGUGGAGGGAACACAGAGUUGGCUGGGGAAGAGAUGAAUGAAAUAAUGUAAAUACAGUACUGAGGUAAGAAAUUCAUAUAUAUAUAUUAUGAAUAGAUAGAUAGAUAGAUAGAUAGAUAGAUAGAUAUGACACUCUCAAAUAGAAAUUUCCCAAUUCAUAUGCUAACGGACUGCCUAUACCAUUUAGUUCUUUUUCUCAAGAUGAGAAGCAGCAGCAACAGCAGCCCACAAUGGUGUAAGAACCACAUAAGGUUGCCUUUAAUUUCUUAGAAGAAAUGCAAUUGCUUCUUUAUCACAUACAACUUUCCAGAGUCUUGCUCAUUCAUAUACAGUAAACUCCAGUGGUUUUUUUUUCUUUUUUUCUUCAUUUUUUUUAAUUGUUAAAAAAUUCAUAGUUAUAGACUUCUUUAUGCCUACUGUACAAACAUCAGCGUGUCGAGAAAGUCAAGUGAGGUUUAAUUAUAGCUUGGAUGAUGUUCACCACAUAUUUUGUUAUCAGCUCUUCUACAAUUUUAGUUUGCAUUUAAGCAUACCCACAAAAUUGUUAACAAAAGCACAGAUUCUAGUUAACAUUAUAAUAAAGUUAUAUGUCGUUUCGUUUUAGGGGAUAUGCUGGCUAUUGAGCCCAGGUUUUUCACAUGCUAAGCAAAUGUUUUUCCAUGGAGCUACAUGAUCAGCCCAGCAUCUGAAUUUUCAGUGGGCAGUUUUGUUGUAGUACAUUUGUUUGUGUUACUAUGAGAUGAAUCUUCAGAGCACUUUCUUCUUGCAAAACUGAAGUUCUCUCUCUAUGAAACAACUGCUAUUUUCACUGUCCACCAUUCCACUUCCUAAAACUUUGACCACUUUAGGUGGUUAUUGUUUUGAAACCUCACACUUUGUCAUUUUGUGAUUGGCUAUUUCAAUAGUUUGUCAAGGCUCAGACUUGCAGCAUGUGACAUGAAGUUCUUCAUUUUUAAAGCAAAAUAAUAUUAAUUGUGCAAACAUACUAGUUUGUUUAGCCCAUUCAUUUGUUGGUAGUUAUUUCAGAUGAUUCUACUUCUUGACUUUUGUACUACAUAGUGGUGCUGGCUGCAGUGAUGUAAAGUGUUUAGGACAUGUUUGCAAUUAUCAGAGGUACUGUGUUAUGUAACAGAAUUUUUAUGGAGAGAAAAAAAACACACUUGUAACCACAGCUGGCUAUACUGCUUUGGCUCCUGGUGGGUCACAAACAUGCACUUUCCCAGGAGCUAUCUGAAUUCAUGAAUGAAAGACACACACACACACACACACACACACACACACACACACACACACACACACACUUGUUGCAGUAAAUCUCCAACCCCAAUAAGCCCUGCAAAGAACACACAACUCAGUUGUUAUAUUUAUAAGCUGCAUACCUAGAUUGGGCAGAUAUACCACUAUACUACUAUAUUCCCCAGCUGUAAGAUCUCUUGCUACUUGUGGCUCCUCCACGUGGUUCGGCUCCAUCUAUUUUAUACCUCCUCUUCUUUCAUCUUCCUCUGUCUCCUCAUCUCUCCCUCCUCCUUCCUCUCUCCCCUCUCUAAAACCUCCAGCCCCACCUUUCCCUUCCACUGCCCAAUCACAGGCUCUAGCCUUUAUUCCAUUAGUUAAAAUGGGGAGAAGGUUCACCUAAAACCGCCUGGAUAUGUGAUCCACUCCUCCUCGGGCAGCCCCUCUUGAGGUAGCAGAAUUAGCAUCAAAAUACAAACAGCAACAGGGCAAUUCAACACAAACACACACACACACACACACACACACACACACGUUUGUUUAGGAAUACAACCUGUUUAGUCUGUUCUGAAAUGCCACAGUGUAGUUAAAUCAUUAAACUUAGCCUUGGUGGGAGGAAUGGUGCUGAAGCUUUAUCGGUCUUUAGCUCUAGUAUUUAUCUUUUUUAUUACGUGUUUGCAUAAUGUUAGCAUGUAUUUUCGUCUCUCCUCUUUUAAGGAUUUUAUUAGGUGGAUGUUGGUCUGCUUAGUUUGUUCCUUAUCCUAUCAUCUUUUUCCUUCUCUGUUUUAUUUUUUGGUGGGUUUCUUUCAUAUGAUUUUCUGUCCUUUGUACUACAUUUUUAAUCUUGGCAGUCAUAACUAAAUUUUGGGUUCUCAUUAUUCUGUUUCUUUGGUUAUAUGGGAUUUUCUUUAAAUCUUAUUUUCAAGAUGCUUUUAAGAAUGUUUUAAAUGUUUGUUUUUGUUUUCUCAAUUAGUUCAGCUUCCUCUAAGGUGAAUUUCUGUCUUCCAAGUUUUGGUGUUUCCUUUUUAAUUUUGUCAGUUUUCCUCCAAUGGUAAAGACUUCUGUCUUUUAUUAAGGAAGAAGGACUGAGGAGAUGGACGUAUAUUUCUGCUUUGUUGUGUUAACAGGACAGUUUUCCUACAGACUUUCUCCUCAACCUACAGGAAUCUCUUCCUGAGAUGGGCACACAAUGUUGACUAGCAAGUCCUUUAGGAUGGAUGAGGCGAGCUUCUGUUUGGUUUGAAAACACUCCAGAGAUUUUAGGUUUCCACUUUUGCACCAACACAUUUAGAAGUUAGACUUUUCUGGACUUAUUUGAUUUCUGUAGAUAUAAUUCUCACAUGUAUUUGAUGGGACAGAAUGCUGCCUUUCUGAGACAUGUGUUCAAGUUGGAGACUGGCUUGAACUUUGUCAUAUUCAGCUUCAAAUAAACUGUUCCUAGCUUCAUAUUUUACACCUCCCCUAACUUUUGCCAACUGAUUUUGUACUCAGAGUUCUCUGGGAUUUGAAAGGCAGAUUAACUGCCUUCUAUACAGAUCUCUAUUGUUUGUUGAUUCCUCUUCAUAUAUAAACACUUUGCCCCUUCUUAGAAUUGGGAACAAAACACCCAUGGAAGGAGUUACAGAGACAAAGUUUGGAGCUGUGACGAAAGGAUGGACCAUCUAGAGACUGCCAUAUCUGGGGAUCCAUCCCAUAAUCAGCUUCCAAAAGCUGACACCAUUGCAAAAAAAAAAUAAAUGUAAAGUAUAAAAUAUAAAAUAUGAUAUAUGAUAUAUAUGUUUUUUAUUUAUUUACAUUUCAAAUGUUAUCCCCCUUCCCAGUUUUUCCUCCCCAAACUCCCUAUCACAUAUCCCACUCACCCACCCACUUGGGCCUCACUGCCCUAGAAUUCCCCUAUGCUGGGGUUAAAGCCUCCACAGGGCCCAUUGAUGUCAGAUAAAGUCAUCCUCUGCUACCUACGCAGCUGGAGCCAUGGGUCCCUCCAUGUGUACCCUUUGUUUGGUGGUUUAGUCCCUGGGAGCUCUUGAGGGGUCUGGUUGGAUGAUAUUGUUCUUCCUAUGGAGUUGCAAACCUCUUCAGCUCUUUCAGUCUUUCCUCUAACUCCUUCAUUGGGGUCCCCGUGUUCAGUCAGAUGGUUAGCUAUGAACAUCCGAGUCUGUAUUGGUUAGACUCUUGCUGAGCCUCUCAGGGGACAGUCAUAUCAGGUUCUUGUCAGCAAGCAUUUCUUGGCAUCUGGUUUUGGUGUCUGCAAAUGCAAUGAAUCCCUAUGUGGGGCAGUUUCGGGAUGGCCAUUCCUUCUGUCUCUGCUCUACUCUUUGUCCCUUCAUUUACUUUAGACAGGAACAAUUCUGUGUUAAUACUUUUGAGAUAGGUGGGUGGCACCAUCCCUCAACUGAGGCCGAUCCCUAACAUCUGGAUCUCCCUCUUUACAGGUUCUCCUUCCCCUCUGUUGGGUAUUUCAGAUACUGUCAUCCCUGUUGGGUCCUGGCAUCUGGGACUUUCUAGUUGCUACCCCCAGUUCCCCAUCCCCCACUACUACACACCUUCAUUCAAUUUCUUGACUCUUUAUACUUCUUCCUCCAUCUCCUCCCAUACCUCAUCCUGUCACCCUCCCCCCUGCCAGAUCCCACCCACAUUCUAUUUACCAUGAUUAUUUUGUUUCCUUUUCUAAGUAGGAAUGAAGCGUUCACAUGUUGGUCUUCCUUCUUGAGCUUCAUAUGGUCUGAGUUGUAUCGUGUAUAUUCUGACCUUUUUGCCUAAUAUCUACUUAUCAGUGAGUACAUACCAUGUGUGUUCCUCUGUGACUGAGAUAUCUCACUCAGGAUCACAUUUUCUAGUUCCACCCAUUUGCCUGUGAAUUUCAUAAAGUCAUUGUUUUGAGUAAUUAGUAUUUGAGUUGAGUAGAACUCCAUUGUGUAAAUAUACCACAUUUUCUGUAUCCAUUCCUCUGUUGAGGGACAUCUGGGUUGUUUCCAUCUUCUGGCUAUUAUAAAUAAGGCUUCAAUGAACAUAGUGGAGCAUGUGUCUGAUUCUUCAUUCUUUUUGUGUCAAAUGACCUUUUCUACACUUAUAUUCCAAGAAUUAAUUAGAAAUCUAAACUUCAGGAAUGCAUAAGAGUUGUCUUAUCUGUUAGGCAUUUUCCUUUGUGCUCUUUUUUAUUAUCUUCUGUCUCCCACCUAUGUUUCUCUCUGAUACAGGGAACUGGCUCUGCCAAUAAUAUUUUGUUACCAACUGCAGGCCAGCAGUCAUCUAAGUUUAACCAUUAAGAAAUACCAGAGAGAUACUGGCAAGAGGGGAAAAUAGAAAAGGUAACCAUACCUCCACCUGCUUCUGCCUUGGGCAACAUCUCUAAAAUUCCAGCCCUUCUUUUAUUUCGACUAACUCGAUACCUUCUGAACAUACACACCCCCUAACUUGUGAUUCCAAUUCUUGCCUAAUAACGUUUGAUUCUAGGAUCAGCCAACAAUAUCUUGUCCCUGGGUCCCUACAGCCAUAAUGGUGCUAAUAGCAUUAAAUGUUGUUUACUGAUAUGACUUUUUACAUCACAUCAUACUUUUUUUUUAAUAGAAAAAAUUCUAUAAAAGUAUUCACCUUGAUUCUUCUUACUGUUUUCUGAAAGACAUAGACAUAAGGAAUAUUCUAUGUAUCUAUACUUUUAGUUUAAUGGGUUCUUGGAAGAAAUGGAAGAUAUAUGCAUAUGGCCAGUCUGUCAACAUGAACUGAAAAAUGAAUGUUUUGUGGAUUUGGGUGUAUAUUGUCAAAACCUUUGUAUCAUAUUUUAUUUCCACUAACAGCAGAUGGUGUUCAUAUCUGACAUCUGCAUAGCUCAGUGUGUGAUACUGGUAUCAUCAGUGUAUCUGACUUUUACAUAGGAACAUGAAUUAAAAUAUAUGUAUGGUCUCUUGACUCAGAACAUUUAAUUUUUCUUCCUAACAGCUGGAAAUAAUCUAUGAGGACAGAAAGACAGUAGCACAUGAAUAAGUUUGGGUUCAAAGUGGCUAGUCAGUUACUCAAGACUUCAGAUUCCCAACACUAAGGGAGAUACAAAAAAAAAAAGCUGCUUUCCUGGCGGCUGCUCUAAAGUCUAAAGAGGCAAGGUUUUUUGUUUUUUUGUUUUUUGUUUUUUUUUUGUUUGUUUUGUUUUUUCUGGCUAAAAGUAAAGUUCUUCCCAGAAAAAGAAAGUUGUCACUGGGAUCCAAGUUUUCAAAGCAUUACUCAGAAAACAGUAUGUCUCACAAAAGGCUGAGUCACAAUCAUCUACCUCUGCUUUUAAGAUUAAUAAACAGUCAGGAAAAGUUAUAUCUUACAUGGAUUUCCAUAGAGAGAAUGAGAAACAGAGUAAAAGUACAGGAUUUCGAAUGUGACAUGUUGCCUUUUCUCAACUGUAUGGAACAAAGUCUUAGCUGCAUCCCUUACACAAAUCACAUCAAUUUAUCAAUUUGAAGUCUUGGUUGGCCACGGCUUAUGGCAUUUUAUGGUGGCUUUGUAAUCAUGCUUUUGGUCUUUGUAAUUUCAUUAAUUAACACUGGUCAUCUACACAGUCAGGAUGUCCUCUAUGACCCCAGCUUCUUCCACCUGCAGAGAUGGUAUACUUUUUCAUCACCCUAUUGCUUUACUCUAGUGUGCAUUCCUUCCAUUAUUUAGCAUCAACUUUUUUUAUCUUGAAAUUGAAGAUAAUUGGGUCCAGAAUUAUCCAUCCCUUGCUGAGCAAAGCAUAUGGCUAAGAGAGAUCGCGUCUCUUGAAAUCAAUGUAGCUAGUCCUUAUGUUCACAAAAAUCUCCUAUUAGGCUGCAUGACCUUUUCUCACAACAAUGUUAUUUUAUCUUAUGUGUUGAUUUAAAGAGUUAAAGUCUCUCUCCUCCUCCUCUCCCACCCUCUGUUCUAACUUUUCUUUCUUCCCUUUCUCCCAUUAUUCAAGAAGAUAAAAAAGUGGAAGAGUCACAGAUCUUAGCUUCAUCAUCAAUGACUGUAUUCACAGCUCUCACAUUCCAUGUGGUCUAUGAACAGGUUACUGUAGAACAUAAAGGGGCUUUUAGUUUUAUAGGGUGACCAAUUAGUGUUCUGACUAAACUCAGAUGUUUUGGUGACUUGUUGGGGUGGAGCCCAAUAAUUUUGCCAAGAUGGGAUCCACACGAGUGAUCCUUUUGGUCGAUACUCAGCCCCAAAUCACAGUCAAGUGGAAACAAAGGGCACUCAGCAGACAGAGAACUCCAAUUAGAAUAAUUAGGAGAAGUAAUUUGCACAGCUUCAAAAAAAAGAAGAAGGAAGAACUCUUGACAUUGCAAUUUAUCUAAUGAAUAUCUUAUUGAAGACCACUUGUAAUGUGAAAUUAAAAGCCAAAAAAAAAAAAAAAAUGAGUACAUUAGGCCAAUAGAUGCCCCUGGAGCUCCCCUACUUUAUUUGCCUUAUUUCUACACACAUCAUUUCUCAACUUAUUAGUUAUCAGCUUAAGCCCCCAGAAUCAAGGAGAAAUUCACAAAUUCUUUUAGAAAAUAGUAACACUUUAUACUCACAAGUACUACACAAAAAUCCUCUAUUUGCUACAAUUUAUGUCUGAAGGGAUUUAAGUUUAAUUGUCUUGAUCUCUUAGAAAAGAAAAGACUUGGAAGCAUUUAGUAUGACUAAAACUUUUCCCACAUGCUGUGACUUUAAUUAUGGAAAGUCGGGUCCCCUUAUAAUGCCCUGGAGUAUUGUGUAGGAAAUGUCCAUCAGGAACAAAGCAAGUGUAAUACCAUGAUCUGAAAUGAUUGGCUCCUAUACUUUCUAGUUUGUUUAAAAACACAACUGAAUGAAUCCACAUAGGAGAGCACUUCUACAUGUUCAUUUCAUUUUAUUCAUAUGACUAUGUUCCCCUUUGGUACACAUCAAAUACACAAUAUUCAUAUGGAUCUCCAAACAGGGCAUUGGAUCUCUAGAAAGUGGGACGGUUGUUAGCCAGAAUGUAUACAUUUCAAUUGAGCUGGAAUCAUCUGGAAAAGCAGUCAUUGCUCUUAACAAGUGAAUCGUCAAGUUAAUCCCUCAUACCAGAGAACAUUUCUACCUAGCCAUUAUUUUUUAGUAUGAAGUAUUUUUUAUUUGUUGACACGUGUCUAUCAAUCCUUUUCAACUGCAACAGAGCCUAUUGUGUUAUGCUCAGAAACUGAAGAGGGGUAGCAUAUCUCUUCUUAUAUUUCCUUUGUAUGGGUUUGGGUAGCACUUAGGAAGAUAAUAAGUGGCAAGAAAAGUGCUAAUCAUAUUUCAAGUAAAAAACUGAACACAGCUACAAGCAUAUAUAUUUUAAUCAAAUUUUAUAAAUGUCCUAUUUAUUAAAUAUUUAAUUUAAAUUAAAACAAAUUAAAUGCAAAAAUAAUUUAAGGAGCUUGGAUACAUUAAGAUCUCAGGUUCCCAGAUACAGUUUGACUCCAAGGAGUUCUGACACACCCAGGAUCUCAGGAUCCCAGGAUUCCAGAAUUUAGGAUCACAUGGACAACUGGACUAUGAGGAGUUCUGAAACAACCAGGAUUACAGGAGGGACAGGCCCCAGUCAGACACAGUGAGGGCAGGCAGCACUACAGAUAACCAGAUGUCAAGAGGCAAGCAUAAGAACAGAAGCAACAGACGCCAAGUUUACUUGGCAUCAUCAGAACACAGUUUUCCCACCAUAGCAAGUCUGGAUACACCAUCACAUCCCGAAAAGCAAGAUUCAUAUCUAAAAUCACUUCUAAUAAUGAUGAUAGAGGUAGAGGUCUUUAAGAAGGGCAUAAAUAACUCUCUUAAAGAAAUACAGGAGAAUACAGGUAAUCAGGUGAAGGAAUUUAAUGAAACCAUUCAGGAUGGAAAAAAAAACCAGAAAUAGAAACAAUAAAUAAAUCACAAACCCGAGACCUUGGAGAUAGAACACCCAGGAAAGAGAUCAGGAAUCAUAGAUGCAAGCAUCACCAACAGAAUAGAAGAGAUAGAAGAGAGGAUCUCAGGUACAGAAGAUACCAUAGAAAACAUGGACACAAUAGUCAAAGAAAAAUGCAAAAUGAAAAAAGCUCCAAAAACUAAACAUCCAGGAAAUCCAGGAUGCAAUGAGAAGCCAAAAUCUGAGGAUAAUAGGUAUAGAAGAGAGUGAAGAUUCCCACCUUAAAGGCCCAGUAUCUUCAACAAAAUUAUAGAAGAAAACUUCCAUAACCUAAAGAAAGAUGUGCCCAUGAACAUAAAAGAAGCUUAUAGAAUUCCAAAUAGGAUCAGAAAAGAAAUUCCUCCCAUCAUAUAAUAAUCAAAACACCAUAUGCACUAAACAAAAAAGAAUAUUAAAAGCAGUAAGGGGAAAAGGUCAAGUAACAUAUAAAGGCAGACCUAUCAGAAUUCCACCAGAGUUCUUACCAGAGACUAUGAAAACCAGAUUAUCCUGCACAGAUGCCAUACAGACCCUAAGAGAACACAAAUGCCAUCCCAGACUACUAUACCCAGCAAAACUCUCAAUUAACAUAGAUAGAGAAACCAAGAUAUUCCAUGUCAAAACCAAAUUUACACAAUAUCUUUCCACAAAUUCAGCCAUACAAAGGAUAAUAGAUGGAAAACUCCAAGAUAAAGGAGGGAAACUACACCCUAGAAAAAGCAAGAAAGUAAACUUCCUUCAACAAGUCCAAAAGAAGAUAGCCACACAAACAUAAUUCCACCUCUAACAACAGAAAUAACAGGAAGCAACAAUAGUUUUUCCUUAAUAUCUCUUAAUAUCAAGUGGACUCAAUUCCCCAAUAAAAAGUCCUAGACUAACAGACUGGAUACAGAAACAGGACCCAGCAUUUUGCUGCACACAGGAACUACACCUCAGUGACAAAGACAGACACUACCUCAGAGUAAAGAGCUGGAAAACAAUUUUCCAAACAAAUGUUUCCAAGAAACAAGCUGAAGUAGUCAUUAUAAUAUCAAAUAAAAUCGACUUUCAACCAAAAGAUAAGAAAAGACACUUCAUACAAGAAGAUUGAAAUAAUCCCAUGCAUACUCUCAGAUCACCACAGACUAAAGCUGGUCUCCACUAACAACAAAAACAAUGGAAAGCCCACAUGCACGUGGAAACUGAACAAUGCUCUACUCAAUGGUAACUUGGUAAAGGAAAAAAUAAAGUAAGAAAUUUAUGACUUUUUAGAAUUUAAUGAAAAUAAAGGCACAUCAUACCAAAACUCAUGGGACACAAUGAAAGCAGUGCUAAGAGGAAAACUCAUAGCUUUAAGUGCCUACAAAAAGAAACUGGAGAGAGCAGCUUGACAGCUCAUCUGAAAGCUCUAGAACAAAAAGAAGCAAGCAUACUUAAGAGACAUAGACAGUUGGAAAUAAUCAAACACAUGGCUGAAAUCAACCAAGUAGAAACAAAAAGAACUAUACAAAGAAUCAACAAAAUUAGGAGCUGUUUCUUUGAGAAAAUAAACAAUUAGAUAAACCCUAAACCAGAUUAACCAGAAGGAACAGAGAAUGUAUCCAAAUUAAUAAAAUCAGAAGUGAAAAGGGAGACAUAAAAACAGAAACUGAAGAAAUUUUUAAAAAAUCAUCAGAUCCUACUACAACAAAAUUGGGAAAUCUGGAUGGAAUGAACAAUUUUCUAGACAGAUACCAGGUACCACGUACGAAGGUUAAAUCAGGAUCAGAUAAAUCAUCUAAAUAGUUCCAUAACUCCUAAAGAAAUAGAAGAAGUCAAUAAAAGUCUCCCAACCAAAAAAAGCCUAGGACCAGAUGGAAUUAGUGGAGAAUUCUAUCAGACUUUCAAAGAAGACCAAAUAUCAAUAUUUUUCAAACUAUUCCACAGAAUAGAAACAGAAGGAAUACUACCCAAUUUGUUCUAUGAAGACACAAUUACGCUUAUACCUAAACCAAACAAAGACCAAACAAAGAAAGAAAUCUUCAGACAUAUUUUCCUUAUAAACAUCGAUGCAAAAAUACACAAUAAAAUUCUCUCAAACUGAAUCCAAGAACACAACAAAAUGAUCAUUCACCAGGAUUAAGUAUGCUUCAUCCCAGGUAUGCAGGCAUGGUGCAGUAUACAGAAAUCUAUCAAUGUAAUCCACUACAUAAACAAACUCAAAGAAAAAAAUCACAUGAUCCUUUCACUAGCAUUUGAGAAAAUUCAACAUCCCUUCAUGUGACAAGUCUUGAAAAGAUCAAAAAUUGAAGGCCCAUACAUAAACACAGGAAAAGCAAUAUAUAGCAAAGCAGUUAGUAGACAACAUUAAACUAAAUAGAAACUUGAAGCAAUCCCACCAAAAUCAGGAACUAGAUAAGGCUUCCCACUCUCUCCCUACCUGUUAAAUACAGUACUUGAAGUUGUAGCUAGAGAAAUUAGACAACAAAAGGAUGCCAAAUACAAAUUGGAUGGAAAGAAGCGAAAAUUUCACUAUUUGCAGAUGAUAUGAUAGUAUAAUUAAGUGACCCCAAAAAUUCCACCAGAGAAGUCUUACAGCUGAUAAACAACUUCAGCAAAGUGGAUGGACAUAAAAUUAACUCAGACAAAUCAGUAGCCUCUUCUACUCAAAUGAUAAACCGGCUGAGAAAGAAAUCCUUCACAAUAGUCACAAAUAACAUAAAAUACCUAGGUGUGACUCUAACAAAGAAACUGAAAGAUCUGUAUAACAAGUACUUUACAUCUUUGAAAAAAGAAAUUGAAAAAUCUCAGAAGAUGGAAAGAUCUCCCAUGCUCAUGGAUUGGCAGGAUUAAUAUAGUAAAAAUGGCCAUCUUGCCAAAGGCAAUCUAUAGAUUCAAUGCAAUCCCCAUCAAAAUUCUAAUUCAAUUCUUCACAAAGUAAGAAAGAACAAUUUGCAAAUUCAUUUAGAUAACAAAAACCCAGGACAGUGAAAACUAUUCUCAACAAUAAAAGAUCUUCUGGGGAAAUCACCAUCCUGGAACUCAAGCUGUACUACAGAGCAAUUGUGAUAAGAUAAAACAAACAAAACAAAACACCUGUAUGGUAUUGGUACAGAGACAUGCAAGAAGAUAAAUGGAACAGAAUUGAAGACCCAGAAAUGAACCCACACAUAUAUGGUCACUUGAUCUUUGACAAAGGAGCUAAAACCAUUCAGUGGAAAAAAAGACAGCAUUUUCAACAAAUGGUGCUGGCUCAACUGGAGGUCAGCGUGUAGAAGAAUGCAAAUUGACCCAAUAUUAUUUCCUUGUACAAAUAUCAAGUCCAAGUAGAUCAAGGACCUCCACAUAAAACCAGAUACUGUGAAACUUAUAAAGGAGAAAGUGGGGAAGAGCCUCGAACACAUGAGCACAGGGGAAAUUUUCUUGAACAGUUCACCAAUGGCUUAUGCCUAAGAUCAAGAAUUGACAAAUGGGACCUCAGAAAAUUGCAAAGCUUUUGUAAGGCAUAGGACAUUGUCAAUAGGACAAAAGAGCAACCAGUAGGUUGGGAAAAGAUCUUUACCAAUCUUACAUUUGAUAGAGGUUUAAUAUCAAAUAUAUAAAAGGAACUCAAAAAGUUAGACUCCAGAGAAUCAAAUAAACCUGUUCAAAAUGGGGCUCAGAGCUAAACAAAGAAUUCUCACCUGAGGAACACUGAAUGGCUUGGAAGCACCUAAAGAAAUGUUCAACAUCCUUAGUCAUCGGGGAAAUGCAAAUCAAAACAACUCUGAGAUUCCACCUCACACCAGACAGAAUGGCUAAAAUCAAAAACUCAGGUGGCAGCAGAUGCUGGCAAGAAUGUGGUGAAAGAGGAACACUCUUCCAUUGCUGGUGGGAUUGCAAGCUGGAACAACUAUUCUGGAAAUCCGUUUGGUGGUUCCUCAGAAAAAUGGACAUAGUACUAAUGGAAAAUCCAGCAAUACCACUCCUGGACAUACACCCAAAAGAUUCUCCAACAUGUAAUAAGGACACAUGCUCCACUAUGUUCUUAGAAGCCUUAUUUAUUAGAGCCAGAAGCUGGAAAGAACCUAGAUGUCCUUCAACAGUAGGAUGGACACAGAAAAUAUGGUACAUUUACACAGUGGAUUACUACUCAGCUAUUAAAAACAAUGAAUUCAUGAAAUUUGCAAUCAAAUGGAUGGAACUUGAAAAUAUCAUCCUGAGUGAGGUAAUCCAAUCACAAAAGAACAACAUGGUAUACACGCACUGAUAAUUGGAUAUUAUCCCAAAGGCUCGCUGUACCCAAGAUACAAUUCACAGACCACAUGAGGCCCAAGAAGUUGGAAGGCCAAAGUGUGGAUGCUUAGGUCCUUCUUAGAAAGGGGAACAAAUACAGAGGUGGAUGCAUGCAGUCAGCCAUUAGACAGAGCACAGGGACCCCAAUGGAGGUUUUAGAGAAAUGACUGAAGGAGCUGAAGGGGUUUGCAACCCCAUAGAAAGAACAGUGUCAACCAACCAGACCCCUCAGAGCUCCCAGGGACUAAGCCACCAACCAAGGAGUACAUAUGGAGAGACCCAUGGCUCCAGCCACAUAUGAAAUAGAGGAUGACCUUGUCAGACAUCAGUGGGAGGAGAGGCCCUUGGUCCUGUAAAGGCCCUUGGCCCAUGGAUGGAUGACCCAGUGUAGAGCAAUUUGAGGGUGGGGAGGCAGGAGUAGGUAGAUGGGUGGGAGAACACCCUAUAGAAGCUGGGGGAGUGGGGAUGGAAUAGAAGUUUUCAGGGGGGAGGGGCAGGUAAAGGGGCUAACAUUUGAAAUACAGAUAAAGAAAAUAUCCAGUAAAAUUAAAUAAAAUAAUUUAAUUUAAAUUUAAAUAUUUUAUUAAUAGCCUUGUAUAUGGGGUAUAAAUAUAUUUUUUAAGGUUUUACUUGGUCUACACACAGAUACACAUAUAUGUAAAUUCACUUUCAAAGAAAGAAAUAUGAAAAGAUUAACAAUUUAGAGAGUAAUUAAUAAAGUCAAAUUAUAAAGAAGUGUCUGCUACUUUUAUAAACAUGUUGAGGUCCACUAGAAGUGAUUAUACAUAAGGAAAUUGGGUGGUCAUGAACAGAGGACCUGGGGUCUGGCAAACUCUUGAUGUUGUUAUUAUAUGAACAUGAUUGACUUAAGAAGUUUUAGGGAACUGUCUCCUGGGAAGAGCUUAUUUUUGUACAUGACUACUACCUCCUUGCAAUGCCAGCUGUCUGUUCCUGAGAUGGAUAACCCAAAUGUCAUUUCCAAGGAAGAUGGCUUCCAAGAAGAGAUCAAGAGGGCAGUUGAGGAAUUGAGAGUUAAGUGGGAGAUCUAGGAUUGAAACAUCAGGUACUAACUCCAUCCCACUUCUUACUUGGGAGACUGUCUCUAAUAUGCAGUAUUGGGAAUGUGGGAGGGGGGGGGCUGAGGACUGCAAAGAUUAUCCAUCACUGGAGUAGGCAUUUGUGCUAUUUGCAGUCUUUAGAGGAAAAUGUUUCCAGUUAGCUGUGAGAAACACUUGCUCCUUCUGUUUCAGAGGUCAUUAUGAGUGAGGUAGGUGUGGGAUCUAUUCCUUUUGGCAACAGCAUCAUGGAAGGAAAGGGAGAGCCAGGAUUAUCUCACAAAUAGAAAGGAACAGCAAGUUUUACACCCACUGCUUUUUAAAAUGAUAGCAGUGAAGUCUGACCUGAAUUGAGUAAGGCACUUGAGAUGACUCUGCUGGCAUUCUGAAACGUAAUCUUAACCCUCUCACAUGAGUAGUUCUCGAGACACCACACCACCAAGGAAAAGAGAACAUAACACAAAGGAUGCUACAUCUGAGCAGAAAGCACAUAGAAGUAAUGGAGGUUCCCCUCAACUCCAUUUAUGUGCCUUGGUGAGUACUAUCAGCAAUCAAAAGAGGAAGAAAACUUUUCCUCAGGUUUCAGACCUGGUCUUGGAUGGUAGAUUUCAUUUUCAAGUCAGGCUGAUAUUUUAAGUAUGGACUAAAACUGACUUUAGCACAAAAGUAUUCUUCAGGAAUAAAGAUUGAAUAAAACAUGUUUGUUCCUUGAGGAUAUUAUGCUGUUUUCCAGAAUUUUAAUAAUGCAUACAAAGCUUUAGAAACUUGGUAUAAUGGGUUCAUGAUGUCCUUAGGAUGGUAGGAUGCUUGCCCAGCAUACUUUUUGCCCUCCCUUCAACUCCCAGCAGCUCAGAAGGUGGACAUGGUACUGCACAGGUGUAAUUCUAGCACUAAGGAGGUAGAUGCAGGAGAAACACAAGUACAAAGUCCUCUGCAGCUUAAGUGAAUUCUAGGCAACCUGGAUAACAUAAGAACACCCUUCCCCCAAGACACACACACACACACACACACACACACACACACACACACACACGUACCACAUAAGCCUGGUGAGAUGACUCACUGUAACCUGGUGAUCUGCGUUAGAUCCCUAGAACAUAGUAGAAGAACCGACUACCACAAGGUUGUUCUCCAACUUUCACAUGUUUGUGAUGGUACAUACACACACCCCAAAUAAACAGAAGAUAAUAAAAAUAAAUACAAGUCAAUACAGCACUUUGCUUAGCAUUUAAAUUUUUUACUGGUGACUUUAUAGUGGCUCUUCUUAAAUGGCAAUUCUUACUCAGUUGUUUUUGACUGUGAGGAUGUGUUAUGUCAGAAAUGGUACUUUAGAACUUGUAGAUUGAAGAGAUCUAAGAAGCAGGCACUGCUGUUAAUUCAGCCAAGUGAGAAACUGUGUGUACUCUCCCCAUCACCUCGUCUAUAGACAUGUUAAAAAUAGUGAUGUAUGUGCAUGACAUAUUAUUUAUUUAGUCUCCCUAGACUGAAUGUGAAUGUGGAUUUACAGACCCCUCACAAUAAAUUCUGCUACCCUCAGGGGUCCAAGACCUACUGCUUGAAAUCCACAGAGCAGGACAGGCUUAUGAUUGAUGACAACGAGGAGGGCCUGGGGCACAUCUGCUAGUCUUCCAUGGCUUUCAUCCUCACAGCCCUCACACAGCCUCCUUGAAAUGCCACACUCUGCUGUGUUUACUGGAAAUGUUUUCUGUAUAAACUUCAAAAAGUUAGUUAUGACUCUCUACAGCAGAAACAUUUUUCAUAAAAAAAAUGAAGUGUACCUUGGAUGAAGAUUUAUUCAUCAAAGAAAAAUGAUUUUCGAUUUAGGAUCUACUAGGUCUUUAAAUGUGCAUAAUAGUACUUUAAGUGGGAGGUGACUAUACACUUGUUUAAUGCAUAAUUUUCUAUACUUUUCUGAUAAAAUAUUUAUCAGUACAUUAAGGCAAAAGAUUCCCACAUAUAGUACCUAAAGACACAUAACUUUGUGUUCUCAUUACUAUGUAUACAUUGUAGUUGCAAUACAACAACAAAGCCUACCAAUGAAGACAGUAAUGCUACACAAUACAUAGCCAAGUAUCACUGUAAAUUCACUUUCUAGAGCCUUCUGGAAUUUCUUUCUCUCCACUGAUUUUGUCAAAGCUUAUGAUUCAAGAUGUAAGUGUAUAUAUCUAUCCAAUUUUGUUUCCUACCUCACCCAUUUUUUAUUGUCUUCUUUUUGGUUAAUCCUAGGUAGAGUUCCCCCCCCCCCUAGAAAUGCCUUGUUGUGGAUUGUCCUAAUAAUGUUUGUAUUUUGAUGUUUGUUUUGUUUCCUCAAGCAGGAUUGCCCCUGACAAGCAACAUCACAUACUCAGAUCAUCUCAUGUGAACCUUCUUCCCAUUUAACUGGUCAAUAAGGCUAGAGCCUGUGAUUGGGCAGUGGAAAGGAAAGGUGGGACUGAAUGCUUGAGAGUGUAUACAGGUAGAGGAGAGAAGAGGACAAGAGGGGAAGGAUGGAGGACAAAGCCAGAAGAGGAGGAGGAAGGCAUGAUGGACUAGAAACGUAUGGGCAGGAGAAACUGCAAGUAAGAAGGGGACUUAUAGCUGGGAAAUAUGUUAGUAUAGUGUUAGAUCUGACCAAUUUAGGCAUACAGCUUACAAUUAUAAUAACUGGAUUGUGUGUUUUUAUAUGGGUUUAUUGGGGUUGGAAAUUCCAAAAACAGUGCCUUAGAUAAUUAUUUUAAAUCUUUCAUAUAUGAAUCUGCACUCAUGUCUAUCCACUUUUUUUUUUUUUUUUGCACCAACAGUACCUUUCUUCCUUUCUUUUUAUCAUGGAACAACUUUCCUGUCAGUUUGUCCUCCUUUGCUUUCUGUGCACACUUUUGUCACAACCAGUUUCAAUCAACGCUGUUCUGAUUUCCAGCCCUACUAUGUAGCUGUCUUCUACUUUUUGGGUUCUUUUUCCUUCCACCCUCCUCUAACCUCUUUCUACCCUUUAAUCCCCCUAAACACUAGAUAAAAGAGAAAAAAGUUAGAAAAGAAAGGAAAUAUUCCUGAAUAAAGUCAGGAGUCAGAAAGGGAGCAACAUUAUCAUUAGACUAUUUUUUUGCAAAUUAGGGGCAUUGAGUUCCUUGAGACAAGUUUGAUCUUCACAAUUAGGAUAUCUAAUUUCUUUCUUCUUCUUCUUCUUCUUCUUCUUCUUCUUCUUCUUCUUCUUCUUCUUCUUCUUCUUCUUCUCCUUCUCCUUCUCCUUCUCCUUCUCCUCCUUCUCCUUCUCCUUCUCCUUCUCCUUCUCCUUCUCUUCUUCCUCCUCCUCCUCCUCCUCCUCCUCCUCCUUCCCCUCCUCCUUCUUCCUCUUCAUGUUUCUUCUUUGUAACAACUACUUAACAAACUAAGACCAAAAGCAACCAAUCAACAACCACCAACCCAACAACUGUCUUGGAUCCCUAGCAUUUAUAUACCCUCUCAAAAGUUCCCAUAAUUCCAAAUAUGCAGAAACUAUCUGGAGCUGGCAAAAUCACACCCUCACUAGAGCAAGAGACAAAUCACAGUUGCAGUGGACAAUGUGAAACAGGCCUAUAUUUCAUACCUGAGACUGAAAAAAAAUCAAUUUCUAAUAACAUUUCUAUGUAUUUAUUUAAAUAAACCAAAAAUUCCAAAAUUCUCAUUAUACCAAUAUUUCAUUGAAAAGUUCUUAUCACAAAGACAAGUUAUGUAGUAUCUAGAUCUGAGGUUAGCCCAUUACUUCUCCUUCACUGACUCUUACAGUAGUGUGUACAUACUGAUCUUCCUUAAAUAUUUCCUUUGGUCUGAUUCCUUCGUUCCUUUAUUCAGGAAGAUUUGCUCAUAGGAUAGAACACAGGAAAAGAAAGGCUGAGUUCUUGAGCUAGAAGUCUGAGAAACUAGAAACCUAAACAUGAGGCUGCAGAAGAGUAAGCACCAUGGUUGAUAAGACACAGUUUGAUAGAGGACUUAAGAGCAAUACCUUCUUAAGAUCAGAAGUGUCUAGGGAAACUUCCUGGGAAAGGUGACACUUAAUUAGAGACACUUGUCAGAUGAAUCAUCCAGAGAGCAGGGUAAUGUAAUGAAAAGGACCAUGAAGGCAGAAGAGCUCAUGUAAAGGGAUUCAGUGUCAGAAGGGAAGAAGGGAGGGGAAGAAACAGAAAAAGUCAGAGAGCUAGAGACAGAGACAGAGAAAGACAGAGACAGAGAGAUAAGGCACAUGCACAUAGAGAUACAUACAUACAUACAUACAUACAUACAUACAUACAUACAUACAUACACAGACACAUACAGAUACAAACAUACAUACAGACACAGAGACACACAGACACACAUAAAGACAGACACAUACUUAGACAGACACAGUCAGACAGACAGACACAGACACAGAGACAGACACUGACAGACACAGAUAGAUAGACAUACAUAGUCAGACAGACAGACACAGAUAGAUAGACAUACACAGUCAGACAGACAUAUAUACAGACAGACACACAAACACAUGGACACAUAGACACACAAAAAGAAACAGACAGGCAAGCAGAUACAGACACAGAGAGAGACAGAAUAGUCAGAGACAGACAGACACACAGACAGAUGGACACACAGAGGAAAUGAACCAAGAGAGAGGGAGGGAGGAAAGGAAGGAGGAAGAAGAAGAAGAAGAAAAAGAAGGAGGAGGAAGAGGAGGAGGAGGAGGAGGAGGAGGAGGAGAAGGAGAAAGAAGGAGAAGGAGAAGGAGAAGGAAAGAAGAAGAAGAAGAAGAAGAAGAAGAAGAAGANNNNNNNNNNNNNNNNGAGAGAGAGAGAGAGAGAGAGAGAGAGAGAGAGGUGAGAAGUUUGGGUGGAGUGUGAUGAAGAGAAUGGAAAAAUAUAUCACCCCAAGGAGGUCACAUCACAUCAUGGCAGGCUUUGUGGGAUAAUUCGAGAUUAGAGUAUUUAAUGGUGCAGAAAUAUCAUAAAGAACAUAGAUGUUAAAUUUUCUGAGGUUGGAGAAAGGGUUGGAAAUGUGGCAAAGGUAGCUGAAGAGCUUCAGGAGGCCAUGGCAUCAAUUCUGUGUAAUGUAAUUGUUAUACAGGCACCAGGCAUGAGGGAAUGGUGUUUCCUUUAUGCAGCAGUAAGUUCUCUCUUUCCAACCACCCUGUUAUGGAUGUUGGUGAUGUGGAAAUCAGUGUUAAAGGAGGGAGGGAGGAAGGGAAAGGAAGAAGAAAAGAAUGAAGGAGAGGAGAAGGGGAGUGGAAGGAGAGAGAGUUGAAUUAAUGCCACAUGGGAAGAAAUAAAAUGCUUUGCAGAUUGACUGGAAGCCAGAGGUAGGUAUAACAUCUGGUCUUAGAAGUUCAUAAAACUAGGACAACCACCCAUAUGGUGGUGCCAUUCAUGCCACUGGAAAGUACUCAAGUAGGAAUGUGGUGUCCCUAACAGUGGAAAGGGUUGUGGUUUCAGUUUUACUUUACUGUUGUUUUCCAAAAGAAAACAUACUAUAAAGGCAGGAGGCACCUAGAAAGGUAUUGGUUGUUUAUAAACAGCUAGCAAAAGAAAGAGAUAAUAAGGAUUUUUUGUACUAGGAACUUUAUCAGAGAUUAUGUCUGAAUGACCCACAAUAUAAAACAUGGGGACUAUGGUUCUGGAGGAACCUCUUUUUCUCAAGAGACAGAAACUACAGAUCUGGAUUCAUGGCUCUUUAUAUUUGAUAUCAAGGAUUCUGAGACAAAAAUCACAUCCUUACAUCCUUACGGCUACAUGUAUUUCUUCAAUGAUGGAGAACUUGCCUACAUACAUUUGGUCCUAGAGUUGAAUCUUGGCUCUACAAAAGAAUAAACAAAUGUAAAGCACAGAUAUAUUAAAUGAGGAAACUUUAAAAAAGAAUCACACAUACAGUAUCUGAAGCCACAUGCCUUUGUGUUAUCACCAUGCUUAAGAGUGAUAUCAGUCUUCAGAGGGACUAAGGAGAGCAUGGUGAAGUAAAAGAAUCCUUAGAAGAGUUUUAUGCAAAAUUUAAGGGCCUUUACUUUCUCAGGAUCCUGCCAAGGGCUGUGCACAUAACCAGCUCUGAGGUCUGUAAGUCAGAAAAAAAAUUUAUAGUAGUAAAUACUGACAUGUGAAAUAUAAGGAAAGAAAACAACAGCUUUUCAAUUUUCAUCAGUUUCCUCCUCCUUUUGUAUUUUAUGACCCACAUAAAGUUUGCAGCACAAGUCACAUUUUUGCAAGAUCAUUGCUUUGAGGACUAUAUGAAGCAAUAGGUUACAAAAGGCUCUCUCUCUCUCUCUCUCUCUUUUUCUCUCUUUGUAAAACCAGAACUGCAUUUAAGCCACUUUCAAGAAUUCCCGUAUAUUGCUACAUACUUGACCACUUUCAGUGACAUUUUGGAUAUUGCACAGGGAGAAGUUUCACAGUUCUUCUAGAGAGAUAUAUUCAAGAAAAAAACGAACCAUUUUUGUGUGUUAUGAAUAUAAGCUUUCAGUUCACAUUCUCACUCCCCAUCAUUUAUCAAGUCCUAAAUCUCUGCCCAUGCCAACAUAUUAUCAAUAUAUUAUACAACCUGCCUUAUGAAAAGGCUAUUUCCACACCAUUAAGAACGUCAAUUUUAUUUUGCCAACUUAGAACUAUUUUUAAGAAAUUUCAUUUAGUUGUAUCUUAUAGUCUGAUAUUUGUUUCCUGAAAAAUCUGUAAAUUCUUGCCAGUUUAUGAAAUACUAUAGCAUCUACAAGGGUCAGAGGUUAUCUAUGGCAAAAUUUCUGUAAACACAGAAUGGUCAACUUCCCAACAGUGUCUUCUAAGACGGUGGCCAACUCCCUUCUCUGUGUUAGUCAUGGUUAGUCACACAGGGAGGGACUUAACUCUGCUUACAAAAAAAGUGAUUGUUCCACUAUCCUCAGGAAUGGGGUUAGUCACCAGCGUGCUCCCUGGGGCAUUCCACUUCAUCCCUGCUUCCCCCAGGGCAGUAUUGUACUCAGACAAAAGUGUCAGCAGAGAUCCUUGAUUCAGGCACAAGGGCAACUAUUGCUCAGGUCAACUCACCCAGUCCUCGGAACCACCUGGAAUUAUUGGCUGUAUUUUAGAGAUUACAAAGCUGAAGUUUGGAAGGAAAAGACAUUUUCCUAGGGUCAACCAGAAUUGGGUUUUGAACUGAGUUUGGCUCAAGAGUCUGCUUUCAUAAUUAUCACACCAAUGCCUUCCAGAUUUUGUUCCCAAAGGAAGAAGAACUGGGGCAUCCUACCCCAGUCACAGCAUCUCCUUGGCUGUUGUUUUGUAUACUGAAGUUCCAUGAGAAACUUACACACAGGGGGCAACAGCCACACUAUUAAAACUACAGGAAACUUUUGAAUCAAGACACCCCUCUGCACCUCUGAGGUACAGGAUGUGGAUGCUGUGUUGCUUACUUUAGGCCCCCCAAAUAAAUGGUCAACUCAAAUAAUCCUGCUGGAUUAUAUCAGUAAACUGUGGGUUAGGUCAAUUUAGGCCUGCCAAAGUGAUCAAGUGAGAAGGCAGUAUAGCUUAACUAACCUUUUGGUGUUCCACCUGCUCACCACUACAGUAUAAAUAUGAUGAAGACCAUGGAUGUCUAGUGAACUUAGCAGUAUAGAGGUUAUUGAAGAAGAGAUAAAAACUUUAAAACAUCCUUGUCACAACUGGGCUUUGUUCACAGUGUGGGCAUUUGGGGCAUGAACUUCUGUUUGGGUGCAACAACUCAAGAGCACACAGUCUAAGAUGACAGAGAAGGGAGCCAAGAGAGGGACAGAAGCCUAAGACCCCAACCAGGUGGCUUAGUUGAAAUCAUAAACAAUGACCAGGACAGGAUGACAGAGGAAAGAAACUACCAUUCACAUAGGCUGAAGGAGGAAGUGUUUAUCUUGAAACUUUCAAUGUAAAGAUUUCAACCACAGCCUUGCCCUGCUGGGGCUUAUACAUAAGAUGUGCUCACACUCAGUCUUUCAAGUUUGAUUUACAGAGAGUAAAUGGUUUAUUCUAGAAAAAUGUCACUGAGGCAAAUCAAUAAAUUAUAUCAUAUACUUUUUUAUAUAUUACUGCUUUUGUAUAGUUGUAAUGACACAUUGAAAUAAUUAAAAUAUUCACUGAUCAUCUAUUGUACAUUGCACUAGACAGAGGCUAUAGGGAGAGUGGACCACACUAAAUCCCUGUUCUGACCACAUUUAUUUUAUUUUAUUUUUUAUUUUUAUUUUUAAUUUUUUUUAAUUAGGUAUUUUCCUCAUUUACAUUUUCAAUGCUAUCCCAAAGGACCCCAUACCCACCCCCCCCAAUCNNNNNNNNNNNNNNNNNNNNNNNNNNNNNNNNNNNNNNNNNNNNNNNNNNNNNNNNNNNNNNNNNNNNNNNNNNNNNCAUUUUCUGUAUCCAUUCCUCUGUUGAGGGGCAUCUGGGUUCUUUCCAGCUUCUGGCUAUUAUAAACAAGGCUGCUAUGAACAUAGUGGAGCAUGUCUGACUACAUUUAUAGUGUAGUGGGAAAGGAUGUUUAAAAAUAAAUAAACAUCCGAUUUAGAAUGGCAGUUUCAGAUACUUGGAAUGAAAAACAUUACUAAUCAGGGCACUGAGACUAGCUUUGUUAUAGGCAGUGAAGAGGGACAUUCUAUACAGAGUGGCUAGGGAAUUCCUCAGAUGGCAUAAACUGUGAAAUUGUACAGAAACAACACAAAACAGAAAAAUUUGAAAACUAGGUAGUAAUUUAAGGGAAGGAACAUUCCUGCAUUCCUUCUAAGAGAUACAGCACACACAAAGGCAUCAAGGCACCUUCAUUGCUUGAGUGUGCUUGGAGCAGAGAGUGGGCACAGAGGAACAGACACAUAAACAACAUGGAGAGGAAGUCAAUGUGGUGGGCAAGCUGGUUAUUCCCAGAUCUUUGUAAGCCACAACAAGGACUGUGACUUGAAUUUGAAUGCUAGAGGCAUCAUGAGGAGAGAAAGGUUGCAAUAUGACAUUUCAAUUACUUGUGUCUAUGUGUGGAGUUUCAAAACCGAUGGGGAUGGUCCUGCCAUUAUUCAAGUGAGGGGGAUGCUGACUUCGCAUCGCCAUGAAAUUAGUAAAACAUGAAGAUUCUGGGUGUAUUCUGCUGGAAAGUAAGUGUAGAUUGUAGGGGGAAAAAACCCAACAAAUCAAAGAGGACUAAGGAAAUGGAAUUGUUGUGUAUAGAGUGGGAAAGACUGGUUCAUAAAGAUGUUUGAAAGGUUUUUUUCCCCUUGAGACAAAAUGUUAGCCUGACUAUCUUCAAACUUGCUACAGUUCUGCUAACUCUGCCUUCUAAAUGCCACAGUUAGGGAGGUGUGCCCUCACAUCCUUAUUACAGUGUUUUCUUCUUAUGAGGGUGCAAAAGUAAUUGGAGGAUCUCUAUUCUGUGACUUUAUGUAUCUAUACCAAUUACCUCACUGAAGACCUUACUGCCACAGUGUGGGGAGAGGCUUCACCACAUGAAUAUUACAUGGAGCAAAAUUUAGUCCCCAAUAAGAGACAAUGUACAAAAGAAGAGACUGUCAAACUGGACAGCCUUUCACAGCCUUUUACAGCCUUUCACAGGCAUUAGCAAACUUAGAAAGAAAUAAAAAGAUCUAAAGUGGGGCAUUAUGAAGAUUAGUAAACACGGACUGUUUUAAUUACUAACAUUGUAGGAUGACUAUGAUGAGACUUGGGAAUGGCCACUGAUUUUAGCAAUGUGAAGAACUUGAUGAUACGAAGAACUUGUUUGUGCUAUAGUACAAAUGAUUGCCCCAUGGCCAUGAAUUUCACCAGAACAUGGGAAGUAAGAUAAUUAUUCAUUAAUGGUGGAGAAUAAUCACUUCUGUAAAGAAGAAAUCCCAGUAAGACUUUGUGGAGCAAAGAAGAGAACCAUGGAAAACAGUGUACCUCAGUCCUGGUACUUUUUGAGGAUAUACUUGAGAUGAUGAAUAGGAGGAUAGAAGGAAUGAUUGGAGGAAGACAGCAGAGAUGGAACACAGGUCUGCUGGCCUUCUGGCCAUGUGGGUCCCUCACGAUAGAAGUGGAGAACUACUGAAUAGUUGUGAGACCUAAAACAGAACAUCAGCAAUUGUUGACACUUAAGUCCCCAGAAAGUAUAUCCCAAAGACCUCUUCUCUGGUUGAAAUUAGAAAAAAAAACGAUUCAGACUGUUUUAUCUUCUCAGAUUUUUGGUUUUGCCUUGCACUAGAUACUGCAGUUCAGAAUUGUGCAAUUGGUGGCGUGUCUACAGGGCAGAGACCUUUGCUCUUGAUGGGUAUCCUUCUCUAUUCUGCUUAUCAUGGCACAGAGCUGAGUGGUAUCUCAUCUAGACACUGAGAGUUUUGCUCAAUGCUUUACACGGGAACUAAUCACAUAAAGGGUUAGGAUCUUAGCCUUAUGAAGACAUCAUGUCUUCUCAUGACACAGAAUGGAAAGUCAUGCUAGAGGUCCCAGAUCUCUGGAGGGUACACAACAUGCAGUAGAGUCAUAAAACAUGUUAAUUCUCUUACAUUUUCCUCUUAGAAGUUUCCUUUAUUUUCACAGAAAGUCGGGUCUGAUGACCUAAACUAAGCAUGCUGACAUCAAAUUUCCAGAUUCUGGGAUACUCACAUUAUUUUGCUACUUAAAACCACAUUGAGCUUCCAACAGUUAUUCAGAAGAGCCCCUGUGCAGGCAAGUAUCCCAUCAGUUUAUGGCAGGCUCUGAAAAAAUUUACUUGAAUGGGAGCUCUGUUGCCUUUUGAGCAGAGUGGUUGCCUGAAACAAAUUUACUGUACAGUAAGUUGUAUUUCCUGAGGUAACUAAGUUCCCGUCUAAUGGCCUUAGAGUGCAGCUCCCAGGAGUCAUAAUGCUUUUUGCACACAAGCUUGCAAGGGCUCAGUGCAGACUUGGGCAAAUAAACCCCUCUGUGCACAAAGGGUUCUAGAAAUCUCUUGCAGACAAUCCAAACAACAUAGCCUUCCCACUCUUUACCUUUCCCUUAGCUUAUACUUCUGAGUUUUUGUUAACAUUUAAAAAAGAUAUUAAAGCUGCAUUUUGUUCACCUUGUAAAAUGAAAGAGUACAUUGUACAGGCACUGGAGGUACACGUCAGUGCUUUUAUCAAGUCAGGGGCCUGCUCUGCAGCAUUAAUUGGAAACAUGUGUUGAAAAUUCAGGGCAGGUUUCUCAGUGUCUCUUUAAUUUAGUAGAAUAAAAUAAGAACUAAACUCACAUUUCUUUAUGAGGCCAGUCUGUUGGAGUUGUUCUAUUAGCAGGUCUGAUGGAUGACUCUGAUGGACAAUACUGGUACCUGUGUUUAGGCUGCUGGGAUGCUGGUAGUUGUUCUAUUUAAGACCUUAUUCAUGGUUCUACUACACUUUCAGGCACCAUUAUAGAGGACUUGUUGUAACUGAUUCUCUGAAAGUUAGCUGAGGGAUGCUGAUAGAAAGCAUAAUUGAUUUCAAAGACACCGGAUGACCGACACAUGAAAGAUUUUCAAAUAGCCAUAUGUCAGAAGCUAAAUCUGCAAAGUCUCACCAGUAUGACUGCCUAAACAUGACCUGAAGAAAGAGAAGAACAGAAGACAUGACAAAAUGGACAGGGGAAGGACAGUGAAGCCUCACCCUACACUAAGACCUACAGGAAACAAAUGAGUAUGGAAAGUGAGAGAAUUAGUCUUCUCCAGGGAAGAGCACAUCAAUUGGUUGUAUGUUAUGUGUAGCUUUUUGCUACCCCACCUAUGCUCCAGGAACGGACCUAGCUACCAGACCCCUCCCAGCUUCCCAUGAAUCCACGCAUAAAACACACACACACAGUUCAUUUUCUUUCUUUCUUUCUUUCUUUCUUUCUUUCUUUCUUUCUUUCUUUCUUUCCUUUCUUUCUCUCUCUCUCUCUCUCUCUCUCUCUCUCUCUCUCUCUCUCUCUUUCUUUCAAUUGUCAUCAGGAUGUUUACUGGAUAUUUUCUUUAUUUACAUUUCAAAUGUUACUCCCUUUCCCAGUUUUCCCCCUGGGAACUCCCUAUUCUAUGUUCCCUUCCCCUGCUUCUAUGAGGGUAUUCUCCUACCCACUCCCACCUCCCUGCCCUCUAAUUCCCCUACACUGGGGCAUCGAUCUUCACAGGACCAAGGGCCUCUCCUUCCAUUGAUGCCCAAUAAAGCCAUCCUGUGUUGCAGUAUUUUCCCUAUCCAAUUACAUUAGGGAAGCAAGAGGCUUGUGAUUGAACAGGGAAAAGGGAGGCGGAGCUAAGAGUUGCAGAGACAGAGAAUGUCUAGAAAGGAGAAGUGAACACAGGUUCACUUCCUUCUCCAUCCUCACCUUCUCCUUUCUCUUUCUGAGACACUCUCUGUCUCUGUAACUCUUAGCUCCGCUCCCUUUUCCCUGUUCAAUCACAAGCCUCCUGCUGCCCUAAUGUGACUGGACAGGGAAAAUCCUGCAACAAUCCUCUACUACUAUGUGGCUGGAGCCCUGGGUGCCUCCAUUUGUAGUUAAGAAAUAGUAUUCAUUUCAAUAUUACUACAUUGCUCUUUUUUUUUAAUUUUCAUUUAUUUAUUUACUUACAUCUUAAAUGCCGCCCUCACCUGGUCCCUCCUCACAGCAAUACUAACCCCAUUGCUCCUCCCCUCCCCUCUGAGACAUUGGGUCACCACUGGGUAUCCUCCCAUCCUCUCACUGUAAGUCUUUGCAGGAUUAGGCACAUCCUUUCCCACUGAGGACAGACAGGACAGCUCUGUAGGGGAAGGGAUGCCACAGUCAAGGUACAGCUUUAGGGAGAGCCUCUGCUGUAGCUGCUGGGAGGCCCACAUGGAGACUGAGCUGCACGUCUGCUACAUAUGUUUUUUGGUUGGUGGCUCAGACUCUGAGGAGCUUCUAGUGGUCCAAGAUCAUUGACUCUGUUGGUAGUCCUGGGUCGUUCCCAUCCCCUUCAGGGCCUUCAGUCCUUCUCCCAACACUCCCAUAAGAGUCCCAGACUUCCAACCAAUAUUUGACUGGGGGUAACUGCAUCUGUUUUUGUCAACCGCUGGUGAGAGCCUUUCAGAGGACAGUUAUGCUAGACUCCUGUCUGUAAACAUAAAAAAAUAUCAAUUAUAGUGUCAGGAGUUGGUGCUUGCCCAUGGGAUGGGUUUCAAGUUCAGCCAUUUAUUGAUUGGCCAUUCCCUCAGUCUCUGCUCCACCUUUGUCUUGCAAUUAAUUUAGACAGGACAAAUUUUGGGUUGAAAGUUUUGAGGGUGGGUUGAUGUAUCCAUUCCUCCAUUGGGGGUCCUGCCUGGCUGCAGGAGGUGCCCUCUUCAGGUUCCAUGUUCCCACUGUGUCUCCUCCCUGGUUUUAGUGAGAUUGCUUCAUGUUUCUCUCCAUUUAAUUUGAUGUUGGCUGUUGGUUUGCUGUAUAUUGGUUUUUAUAUGUUUAGGUAAGUGCCCUGAAUCACUGAUCUCUCCCAAGACUUCUAACAUAAAGGGGUGUAGGAUUGUGGAAGGUUUUUUUUUCUGCAUUCCAUAGGAUUAUGAUAUGAUUUUUUUCUUUCAAUUGGUUUAUAUAGUGGGUUACAUUAGUGGAUUUGCUUAUAUGGAACCAUCCUUGCAUUCUUGGGGUGAGGCCUACUUGAUUGUGGUGAAUAAUGAUUUUGAUGUGUUCCUGGAUUCUGUCUGUGAUAAUUUUCUGGGUAUUUUUGUGUCAAUGUUUAUAAGUGAAAACAGUCUGAACUUCUCUUUCUGUGUUGAAUCUUUGUGUAGUUUAGGGAUCAGGAUAAUUGUGGCCUCAUCAAAUGAAUUAGAUAGUGUUCCUUCUGUUUUUAUUUUUGUGGAAUACUCUGAGGAGCAUUGGUAUUAGCUCUUCUUUGAAAGUCUGGUAGAAUUUUGCACUAAAAUCACCUUGCCCAGGGCUUUUUUGGUUGGGAUAUUUUUAAUGACUGCCUCUAUUUUCUUAGGGGUUAUAGGACUGUUUGGAUAGUUUUCCUGAUCUUGAUUUAACUUUGGUAAGUGGUAUCUGUCUAGAAAAUCAUCCAUUUUGUUUAGAUUUUCCAUUUUUGUGGCAUAUAGGCUUUUGAAGUAUGACCUAAUGAAUUUUUAAAAUUUCCUCUCUUUCUGUUUUUAUGUAUUCCUUUUCAUUUUGAUUUUGUUAAUUUGGAUACUGUCUUUCUGUUUUUCUUAAAAACCAGCUCCUGAUUUUGAUGACUCUUUUAUAGUUCUAUUUCUUUCUAAUUGAUCGUAGUGCUUACUUUUCCAUUGAAUUCUAGAAAGUAUUUCCUUCCUUUCUUUCUUUCUUUCUUUCUUUCUUUCUUUCUUUCUUUCUUUCUUUCUUUCUUUCUUUCCUGACCAAGUUAUCCCUGAGUAGAGAGUUGUUCACUUUCAGUGAGUAUGUGGGAUUUCUGUUGUUAGGUUGUUUUCAGUGAGUAUGUGGGUUUUCUGUUGUUAGUUUGUUGUUGAGAUCCAGCCUUAAUUCCUGGUGAUCUGAUAAAAUGCAUGCGAUUAUUUCAAACUUUUUCUUACUGUUGAGGCUUGCUUUGUGCCCUAUUAUAUGUCAAAUUUUGGAGAAAGUUCCUGUGGUGCUAAGAAGAAAAUAUAGUUUUUUGGGGGGGUGGAGAGGGAAGGUCUAUAAAUAUUUGUUAAAUGCAUUUGGUUCAUAACCCAUUAGUUCCAUUGUUUCUCUUUUUAGUUUCUAUCCUUGAGAGUGGGAUGUGGAAGCCCCCUACCAUUAUUGUGUGGCGCUCAAUGUGUGAUCUGAGCUUUAGUAAUGUUUCUUUUGUGAGUCUAGGUUUCCUUGCUUUUGGGGCAUAGAUGUUAAGAACUGAGUGGCCACCAGAUUGUUAAUUUCAUGUGUGAAUGCUUUUUGGUAUGAAUCAAAGUUAUAGCAUUUCCAAAGAUGUUGGAUGUUUAAUUGGUGAGCAUUUCCAAUGAUGCUUGAUGUUUUAUUGGUGAAUGUUCCUGGGUAUGAAGUACAGUUUGAUGAUGUCCCACACAGCUUACGAAUGAAGGAGCUGCACAGCCUACAGACAGAUCUGAACCCUUUGGGUGUACAUGGUUGUGCCUGCCUCAUGUCUCCUUCCAAAUUUUUACCCAGAGCAUAGAUCCAACUAAGUCAUCUCUAUCCUUCCACUGCAAAUCUUCUAGAUCUGUACAUUAACAUCCCCUGAGCUUUAUAUGGCACAGAUUUCCCUUCAGACAAACUUCAAGGAUUCUUGAAGGCGAGUUCAAAACUUCACUUAUAGAAUUUUUCUGGUCUCUCAACUGUUCUCUAACUUUCUCAAAGAAAUGAGAGUAUAACAAUAUUCUAGGGUUGUGAUGGAGAAAUGGACUUCAGAAAUGGCAAUAUUUAGGGGAUGAAGAGAUGGCUCAGUGGUUAACAGAAGUUCUCAGCACUCACAUCAAGAGUCUAUAACUCCACCUCCUGACAAUCCAGUGCCUUCUGGCCUAUAUAGAGACCUACACUCAUGAUACAAUCCUUCCCCAUACAAACACAGAAAGAAAGAAAUGUAAAUCUUUAGAAAAUAGCAAUAUUUUAUAUAGUUCUGAAGAAAAUACCACUUUUGUUAUUGUAUUUUUUCUAAUGUAACUCUUGCUGAAUAUACAAAUCUUACUAAACUUGAAUAAUCUUUGAUAAAUUAUUGCAUAAGAAAAGCUGUAUCUGGGCUGGUAAGCUAGUUUGCUCAGUGGGUUAUGAGUGCUUGACAUGACACCUAACAACUUGAGUUCAAUCUUCUGAUUGCUUGACAUACAUGAGCUCACACUCAUACACCUACCAUAGAGCAAGCAAUCAUUUUUAUGUUUGACCUACUGUUAAUACCUGACUACACUUUUGUAAUGCAGUGUAUCUACACUGGCUUAGUUAGACAGGUUUCCUGGAAGUCUCACUGUAUGGACUGGGCUCUAGCUUGCAGAGCAGACUCAGUUAUGAUCUGUAAGUCAUCAUAGGCCAGGCAUGGGGAACAGCAACUCCCUGGAGAAUUGCUACUUGAAAUCUUUCGAAAAUAAAAUGUAUUAAAUUUUCUUGCUAGUUUAGUAACACUCCUGCCCCUACUUAAAGAGCCAUUUAAGUAAUAAAAGUCCUGGAAGGGAAGGAAACAGGAAGUGUUUCACAGUAUGCAUACAUUAGAUCUAGCUCUGAAAAGCAAAGUAUCAGGGCCACAUCAGGCAACGCCUUCCCUCAUCAUGAGUCCGGAGAAUCCUCUUCUCUCUGCCAGUUUGCUAGGAGUUGUUGAUGAUGAUUCUGAUUUUUCUUCCUCUUUUUCCUCUUCCUCUUUCUCUUCUCCUUCUCUUCCUUCUCCUUCUAUUUCUUCUUUUCUUCUAUUUCUCUUCUCUUCUAUUUCUUCUUUUCUUCUAUUUCUCUUCCUCCUCAUCUUCCUCUUCUUCUUUCUUCCUUCUCCCUCCUCCUUCUUUUAUUUUCCUUUUAGUUUCUUCCUAAAUUACAUAUUGGCUUCUCCAGAAAAUACACGUUUAAACAAGCCAUGCACCCAUCUCAUUUCAUUUAAUUUUCUGGUCUCUCAGUCUCAUCACCUUGACUAGGACUAGGAAGUGAGGCAGCAGGAAAUUGUAUAAAACAAUGUGUAACAUAUUGGCUAGCUAUGGCUCAAAAUCCUAAAAUCCACUAUCAAUUUUUUUUUUUGGUGGUGGUGGUGAUGGGGAAAUCCCUAUCUAGAAAGAUCUGACCUACUUUCCUUGCUACUUUGGUUCCUGUAGCUCUGCUUUUGAAUGAAGGGCUUAUUUGUAGGUGCUGCAUGUUGUUAGCAGGAAUUCAGACAUAAGCAAUCAAGGCAUACAGGCCACCACUAAGUAACAGAAAACAGCAAACAAUCAAUAAAUCUUCCUUGUUUUUGCUUUCAACUAUGAGUAGUUCUCAAAAAAUAAAUAAAUAAAAAGAAUUUCUUCUAAGAUCCUAGUGAGAACACAUGACAUCAACAUGGUCGCCAUCAUGGUGGGGCAUCUAAGCAUGACCCUCUCCUUUCAUGUUGUCACACUUUCUUGACUUCUGGAUGAUAUCUCUAUGACAAUUACUUUCAGAAAUAUCCUUAUCACUCUCAUAGCUUUUGGCAAAGAGCACAGUUCGAAGGCAGAGUUUUUAGACAUAAACAUUAUUUAAUCUACUCCCAUUUGACUGGCUACUAUAUCCAAGAUCAACAUUAAAUUUCAAACUCUCUAUAAGUAUAGCAAACAGUUCAAGAUUCAUCCACAUUCCUUCAACUGAAACUUCGGUCACCAAAAUCUCUCAUGAUUUUUUUGUGGAAAAAACACUCCUCUAUCAAUAUGGAGGUAGGGGUGAUUCUCUCUUGAAGAAUUUAGAGUCUUUAGGGUCAAUGAGAUCUUGGUGUGAAAAUCUACUCUACUCUGUGAUACUGUGGGAUGAGAAUUUCUGAUGGAGUUCUUCAAAGGAUGGUAGGGAAAAAAAUUAACAGGUGAGCAGUAAUAUUCAUGUUGAAUUUUAUUCAAAUAUGGGGGAGGAAAAAAAUCAUGUGUAAAUGAAAGGAUUAUCAGGCAGUUUAAAACGUGAGCCAAGCGUAGUCCAUAUAGUGUUGUAUACUGAGGACAUAAGAAAGUUACUGGCCAGAAUAAGAGAAAGCAGACAAUCAUUUCAGGGCACUCUUUACCAUAAGGAUACAGAGAAAAUCAUUUUAAGUUAACUCAUGUAAUAUCUAUAAUGAUGUUUCAUCUAAAGAAUUUGCUAGAAAAGUCACACCCCUUGUUAAGAAUGUAAAUCAGGACAAUAGCCAUAAAUGUGUGCAGGGGAAGUCUUGUGGGUGUCAUCGUUCCCCUUAUAAUAUUAUUAGCAUGAAGCAGAACUGUAACUGUGGUUUCUGGGAAAUCAACUCACAGGAAAAUUAAGGAGGCUAAUGUUGAAUCUAGAUGUCAGCUACUUGUGAAGGAUUCUAAAAAUGACGCUUGAGUAUAAGGAUUACACAAAAGAGUGAUGGUUGAUUUUCCGGGUCAAGUCUAGCGUAAGUCUCAUGGAGCCACAUUUUUUUUUUCCUUAUUCUUAGAUAUCCCCAAAGAGCUUUGUGAAUUCACAGUUAACUAUAGGGUAGUUUCAGCCUUGUUUUGAGGGCCCCAGGCUUCAUUUCCUACAACAUGUGCUCUGAGGGCAAAGGGUGCUUACUUGUUUUGCUCACCACCAUAGCUAAUGCCAAGAACAAAAACUAGCACAAAUGUUCAGAAACUGUUUGUAAAAUGAAUAGAUUUAUCUUUUAUUUCUCCAGAUGGCCCAGGUCUGUACUUGAUGUAUAACCUUUCCUUGGUAAACAUUUGUUGGGACAAACACCCAAUAAAGAGUUGUUUGGCUCAAAAAACACGGAGUGCUGUACUUUAUAAAUUUGAUUAUAGGUCGUGAAGCAAACCUUUUCUAAAGUAGAUCGCUGACCUUUUAAAAUUAUAUAAUAAAGACACCUAUGCUUAUGCAGGGCCCCUUUUUUCUUCCCUAAUGAACUCUGUACCUUAUCUGUUGCCAGCCCCAACUUAUAAAUUUUAAGCUGAAAAAAAAUCCUUCCAAAAUGAAAUCCAUUUGUCUUAGAAGUGGGGAUACGAACAUUCAAAGAGUCACAAUGCAUUGAAAGUCUGUUUCUGUGCUUUUCAAGUCAGCCAGUGGUCUCCAGAGCAUUUAUUUUUCGGGUGCAGACAGUGGAAACCACAGACGUAAACAUGGCCUGGAAUAGGAGGAUCUGAACACAUUGUAGAGUGUUGUUUACAAUGUGCAUGAAACAGAAUGCCAUGCUUUUCUUGUCUCCAAAGAUAUGAACAAUUUGUGCUUAGAGGCUGUAUGCAUUAUUUUAUAACCAAGUGAAUCAAUGCAAUGCAGAGAUGGAUAAAAAUAUCUGUUGGCCCACACACAUGAAAUAAAAAUCCAAAAUGUCAAAAUAUGAUGAAUUCUAUGGGUGCUAUUGCUAGUAUUACUUUGGGAAGAUACUCAUCACUGAUUUUUCUCAUUUACUCUACACAUACUGGUUGUGUACUUUUUAAUUAUUUGUAUUCUGUCCCAUAUUUUCAAGUUCCUUGGAAAGAGCUAAGUUACAUGCAUCUUAAAUUAUAGCAAACACAAUAGUAUAGCAACAUUCAUGCAUGACUAAGGAGGAAUUUGUGCUUUAGUAUUGUAUUUGUAAUUGAUACAUUUAUAAAUAUACGGAUUUUUCUUAAGUGUAACCUAUCAAAAAAUUGAAAUGUGAUAAAAAUUUCAUUCUUUUAAAGUUUUAUUUUUAUUGUAGUCCAGGCUAGCCUGGAACAGCAAUCCAGGCUGACUUUGAAUUCAUGGAAAACUUGCCAGCAGCUUUGGCCUUCCAAGUCAUGAGUAUAUAAGCACAACCCAUACAUGGAUAAAAUGUAGGAAAAUUCUCUCUCUCUCUCUCUCUCUCUCUCUCUCUCUCUCUCUCUCUCUCUUUCUCUCUCUCUCUCCUCACAUGUACUUGUAAGUCUGUUUAUAACUUUUCCCAUUAGCUUUGGUAAUAAAAGUAAAUCUGAUAUUUAAAAGUCACACAAAACCAAAGGUGAUGAUAUAGGUAGUUAAGAGCUGAGUGUUGAAAACUGAACCUACAGUUAGUAAUCAAACACUCAACUUAUGAGCAGAGAAGAAAGUAUAACCCAAGAAGCCAAAUAAUACGUGGGUAGAAUAAAGGAAGACCACACUGCACAAAUGAUGUCCCAAAAGCCAUGAGGAAAAAGAUA
ensembl:processed_transcript Gm4117 predicted gene 4117